rnacentral:lncRNA from 1 species
ACACGAGGACUUUCCUGGAGGUCACCCAUCCUAGUACUACUCUCGCCCAAGCACGCUUAACUGCGAAGUUCUGAUGGGAUCUGGUGCAUUAGUGCUGGUAUGAUCGCAUCUGUUACUACAUGCAAUGCAAUCGUAUCUAUUCUUUUUUGAAGAUUUUAUGAUUCAUUUACCGUGGGUCCCACCAGCUAUGUAGGAAUAACCUAUCUUAUUUAUAAAAGCUUUGAUACAUGCAAAAUAUUUGAAAACAAUGUCCGAACAUAUAAUGUUCGCCCCAAAAUAUAGCAAAGACCACAAAAAUGCCAUAAAAAGUACAUUAAGGUCAAAAUUAGGAGUAGGAAAAAAAUCAAUAGGAGAAUUCCAUUUUCCUUCCUUCAUUCAUCGGAGAGCUCUCUUUGGGCAUUCCAAAAAGGUAUCACACGCCAAGUUUGGCCUCACGGUCUAAAAGUUAUAGAGUAUUACAUUUUUAACAAAAAAAAAAGAGAAAAACCGAAAAAAAGAGGGAUGCAACACGAAGACUUUUCUGGAGGUCAUCCAUCCUAGUACUACUCUCGCCCAAGCACAUUUAACUGCGGUGUUCUGAUAGGAUCAAGUGCAUUAGUGCUGGUAUGAUCGCAUCAGUUACUACAUGCAAUGCAAUCAUAUAUAUUCUUUUUUGAAGACUUUAUGAUCCAUUUGCCGUAGGUCCCACCAGCUAUGUAGGAAUACCCUAUCUUGUUUAUAAGAGCUUUGAUAGAUGCAAAAUAUUCAAAAACAAUGUCCGAACAUAUAAUUUUUGUCCCGUAAUAUAGCAAAGAUCACGAAAAGGCCAGAAAAAAUACAUUUCGGUCAAAAUUUGGAGUAGAAAAAAAACCCUUCCUCAUUCAUUGGACAGCUCUCUUUGGGCUUUCCGAAAAGGUAUCACAUGCCAAGUUUGGCCUCACGGUCUAAACCUUAUAGACUCAUACAUUUUUCACAAAAAAAAGAAGAGAAAAACCAAAAAAAAGAGUGAUUAAACACGAGGACUUUCCUGGAGGUCACCCAUCCUAGUACUACUCUCGCCCAAGCACGCUUAACUGCGAAGUUCUGAUGGGAUCUGGUGCAUUAGUGCUGGUAUGAUCGCAUCUGUUACUACAUGCAAUGCAAUCGUAUCUAUUCUUUUUUGAAGAUUUUAUGAUUCAUUUACCGUGGGUCCCACCAGCUAUGUAGGACUAACCUAUCUUAUUUAUAAGAUCUUUGAUACAUGCAAAAUAUUGGAAAACAAUGUCCGAACAUAUAAUGUUCGCCCCAAAAUAUAGCAAAGACCACAAAAAUGCCAUAAAAAAUACAUUAAGGUCAAAAUUUGGAGUAGGAAAAAAAUCAAUAGGAGAAUUCCAUUUUCCUUCCCUCAUUCAUCGGAGAGCUCUCUUUGGGCAUUCCAAAAAGGUAUCACAUGCCAAGUUUGGCCUCACGGUCUAAAAGUUAUAGAGUAUUACAUUUUUAACAAAAAAAANNNNNNNNNNNNNNNNNNNNNNNNNNNNNNNNNNNNNNNNNNNNNNNNNNAAAAAAAAGAGUGAUUAAACACGAGGACUUUCCUGGAGGUCACCCAUCCUAGUACUACUCUCGCCCAAGCACGCUUAACUGCGAAGUUCUGAUGGGAUCUGGUGCAUUAGUGCUGGUAUGAUCGCAUCUGUUACUACAUGCAAUGAAAUCGUAUCUAUUCUUUUUUGAAGAUUUUAUGAUUCAUUUACCGUGGGUCCCACCAGCUAUGUAGGAAUAACCUAUCUCGUUUAUAAGAGCUUUGAUACAUGCAAAAUAUUCGAAAACAAUGUCCGAACAUAUAAUGUUUGCCCCAAAAUAUAGAAAAGACCACGAAAAUGCCAUAAAAAGUACAUUAAGGUCAAAAUUUGGAGUAGGAAAAAAAAUCAAUAGGAGAAUUCCAUUUUCCUUCCUCAUUCAUCGGAGAGCUCUCUUUGGGCAUUCCAUAAAGGUAUCACAUGCCAAGUUUGGCCUCACGGUCUAAAAGUUAUAGAGUAAUACAUUUUUAACAAAAAAAAAAGAGAAAAACCGAAAAAAAGAGGGAUGCAACACGAAGACUUUUCUGGAGGUCACCCAUCCUAGUACUACUCUCCCACAAGCACGCUUAACUGUGGUGUUCUGAUAGGAUCAAGUGCAUUAGUGCUGGUAUGAUCGCAUCAGUUACUACAUGUAAUGCAAUCAUAUAUAUUCUUUUUUGAAGACUUUAUGAUCCAUUUGCCGUAGGUCCCACCAGUUAUGUAGGAAUACCCUAUCUCGUUUAUAAGAGCUUUGAUACAUGCAAAAUAUUCGAAAACAAUGUCCGAACAUAUAAUGUUUGCCCCAAAAUAUAGCAAAGACCACGAAAAUGCCAUAAAAAGUACAUUAAGGUCAAAAUUUGGAGUAGGAAAAAAAAUCAAUAGGAGAAUUCCAUUUUCCUUCCUCAUUCAUGGGAGAGCUCUCUUUGGGCAUUCCAAAAAGGUAUCACAUGCCAAGUUUGGCCUCACGGCCUAAAAGUUAUAGAGUAAUACAUUUUUAACAAAAAAAAAAGAGAAAAACCGAAAAAAAGAGGGAUGCAACACGAAGACUUUUCUGGAGGUCACCCAUCCUAGUACUACUCUCCCCCAAGCACGCUUAACUGUGGUGUUCUGAUAGGAUCAAGUGCAUUAGUGCUGGUAUGAUCGCAUCAGUUACUACAUGCAAUGCAAUCAUAUAUAUUCUUUUUUGAAGACUUUAUGAUCCAUUUGCCGUAGGUCCCACCAGCUAUGUAGGAAUACCCUAUCUUGUUUAUAAGAGCUUUGAUACAUGCAAAAUAUUCGAAAACAAUGUCCGAACAUAUAAUUUUUGUCCCGUAAUAUAGCAAAGAUCACGAAAAGGCCAGGAAAAAUACAUUUCGGUCAAAAUUUGGAGUAGAAAAAAAACCCUUCCUCAUUCAUUGGACAGCUCUCUUUGGGCUUUCCGAAAAGGUAUCACAUGCCAAGUUUGGCCUCACGGUCUAAACCUUAUAGACUCAUACAUUUUUCACAAAAAAAAGAAGAGAAAAACCAAAAAAAAGAGUGAUUAAACACGAGGACUUUCCUGGAGGUCACCCAUCCUAGUACUACUCUCGCCCAAGCACGCUUAACUGCGAAGUUCUGAUGGGAUCUGGUGCAUUAGUGCUGGUAUGAUCGCAUCUGUUACUACAUGCAAUGCAAUCGUAUCUAUUCUUUUUUGAAGAUUUUAUGAUUCAUUUACCGUGGGUCCCACCAGCUAUGUAGGACUAACCUAUCUUAUUUAUAAGAUCUUUGAUACAUGCAAAAUAUUGGAAAACAAUGUCCGAACAUAUAAUGUUCGCCCCAAAAUAUAGCAAAGACCACAAAAAUGCCAUAAAAAAUACAUUAAGGUCAAAAUUUGGAGUAGGAAAAAAAUCAAUAGGAGAAUUCCAUUUUCCUUCCCUCAUUCAUCGGAGAGCUCUCUUUGGGCAUUCCAAAAAGGUAUCACAUGCCAAGUUUGGCCUCACGGUCUAAAAGUUAUAGAGUAUUACAUUUUUAACAAAAAAAAACGAGAAAAACCGAUAAAAAGAGGGAUGCAACACCAAGACUUUUCUGGAGGUCACCCAUCCUAGUACUACUCUCCCCCAAGCACGCUUAACUGUGGUGUUCUGAUAGGAUCAAGUGCAUUAGUGCUGGUAUGAUCGCAUCAGUUACUACAUGCAAUGCAAUCAUAUAUAUUCUUUUUUGAAGACUUUAUGAUCCAUUUGCCGUAGGUCCCACCAGCUAUGUAGGAAUACCCUUUCUUGUUUAUAAGAGCUUUGAUACAUGCAAAAUAUUCGAAAACAAUGUCCGAACAUAUAAUUUUUGUCCCGUAAUAUAGCAAACAUCACGAAAAGGCCAGAAAAAAUACAUUUCGGUCAAAAUUUGGAGUAGAAAAAAAACCCUUCCUCAUUCAUUGGACAGCUCUCUUUGGGCUUUCCAAAAAGGUAUCACAUGCCAAGUUUGGCCUCACGGUCUAAACCUUAUAGACUCAUACAUUUUUCACAAAAAAAAGAAGAGAAAAACCAAAAAAAAGAGUGAUUAAACACGAGGACUUUCUUGGAGGUCACCCAUCCUAGUACUACUCUCGCCCAAGCACGCUUAACUGCGAAGUUCUGAUGGGAUCUGGUGCAUUAGUGCUGGUAUGAUCGCAUCUGUUACUACAUGCAAUGAAAUCGUAUCUAUUCUUUUUUGAAGAUUUUAUGAUUCAUUUACCGUGGGUCCCACCAGCUAUGUAGAAAUAACCUAUCUUAUUUAUAAGAGCUUUGAUACAUGUAAAAUAUUCGAAAACAAUGUCCGAACAUAUAAUGUUCGCCCCAAAAUAUAGCAAAGACCACAAAAAUGCCAUAAAAAGUACAUUAAGGUCAAAAUUUGGAGUAGGAAAAAAAUCAAUAAGAGAAUUCCAUUUUCCUUCCCUCAUUCAUCGGAGAUCUCUCUUUGGGCAUUCCAAAAAGGUAUCACAUGCCAAGUUUGGCCUCACGGUCUAAACGUUAUAGAGUAAUACAUUUUUAACAAAAAAAAAAGAGAAAAACCGAAAAAAAGAGGGAUGCAACACGAAGACUUUUCUGGAGGUCACCCAUCCUAGUACUACUCUCCCCCAAGCACGCUUAACUGUGGUGUUCUGAUAGGAUCAAGUGCAUUAGUGCUGGUAUGAUCGCAUCAGUUACUACAUGCAAUGCAAUCAUAUAUAUUCUUUUUUGAAGACUUUAUGAUCCAUUUGCCGUAGGUCCCACCAGCUAUGUAGGAAUACCCUUUCUUGUUUAUAAGAGCUUUGAUACAUGCAAAAUAUUCGAAAACAAUGUCCGAACAUAUUAUUUUUGUCCCGUAAUAUAGCAAAGAUCACGAAAAGGCCAGGAAAAAUACAUUUCGGUCAAAAUUUGGAGUAGAAAAAAAACCCUUCCUCAUUCAUUCGACAGCUCUCUUUGAGCUUUCCGAAAAGGUAUCACAUGCCAAGUUUGGCCUCACGGUCUAAACCUUAUAGACUCAUACAUUUUUCACAAAAAAAAAGAAGAGAAAAACCAAAAAAUAGAGUGAUUAAACGCGAGGACUUUCCUGGAGGUCACCCAUCCUAGUACUACUCUCGCCCAAGCACGCUUAACUGCGAAGUUCUGAUGGGAUCUGGUGCAUUAGUGCUGGUAUGAUCGCAUCUGUUACUACAUGCAAUGAAAUCGUAUCUAUUCUUUUUUGAUGAUUUUAUGAUUCAUUUACCGUGGGUCCCAGCAGCUAUGUAGGAAUAACCCAUCCUUGUUUAUAAGAGCUUUCAUACAUGCAAAAUAUUCAAAAACAAUGUCCGAACAUAUAAUUUUUGUCCGGUAAUAUUGCAAAGAUCACGAAAAGGCCAGAAAAAAUACAUUUCGGUCAAAAUUUGGAGUAGAAAAAAAACCCUUCCUCAUUCAUUGGACAGCUCUCUUUGGGUUUUCCGAAAAGGUAUCACAUGCCAAGUUUGGCCUCACGGUCUAAACCUUAUAGACUCAUACAUUUUUCACAAAAAAAAGAAGAGAAAAACCAAAAAAAAGAGUGAUUAAACACGAGGACUUUCCUGGAGGUCACCCAUCCUAGUACUACUCUCGCCCAAGCACGCUUAACUGCGAAGUUCUGAUGGGAUCUGGUGCAUUAGUGCUGGUAUGAUCGCAUCUGUUACUACAUGCAAUGCAAUCAUAUCUAUUCUUUUUUGAAGAUUUUAUGAUUCAUUUACCGUGGGUCCCACCAGCUAUGUAGGAAUAACCUAUCUUAUUUAUAAAAGCUUUGAUACAUGCAAAAUAUUCGAAAACAAUGUCCGAACAUAUAAUGUUCGCCCCAAAAUAUAGCAAAGACCACAAAAAUGCCAUAAAAAGUACAUUAAGGUCAAAAUUUGGAGUAGGAAAAAAAUCAAUAGGAGAAUUCCAUUUUCCUUCCCUCAUUCAUCGGAGAGCUCUCUUUGGGCAUUCCAAAAAGGUAUCACAUGCCAAGUUUGGCCUUACGGUCUAAAAGUUAUAGAGUAAUACAUUUUUAACAAAAAAAAAAGAAAAAAACCGAAAACAAAGAGGGAUGCAACACGAAGACUUUCCUGGAGGUCACCCAUCCUAGUACUACUCUCGCCCAAGCACACUUAACUGCGGUGUUCUGAUAGGAUCAAGUGCAUUAGUGCUGGUAUGAUCGCAUCAGUUACUACAUGCAAUGCAAUCAUAUAUAUUCUUUUUUGAAGACUUUAUGAUCCAUUUGCCGUAGGUCCCACCAGCUAUGUAGGAAUACCCUAUCUCGUUUAUAAGAGCUUUGAUACAUGCAAAAUAUUCGAAAACAAUGUCCGAACAUAUAAUUUUUGUCCCGUAAUAUAGCAAAGAUCACGAAAAGGCCAGAAAAAAUACAUUUCGGUCAAAAUUUGGAGUAGAAAAAAAACCCUUCCUCAUUCAUUGGACAGCUCUUUUUGGGCUUUCCGAAAAGGUAUCACAUGCCAAGUUUGGCCUCACGGUCUAAACCUUAUAGACUCAUACAUUUUUCACAAAAAAAAGAAGAGAAAAACCAAAAAAAAGAGUGAUUAAACACGAGGACUUUCCUGGAGGUCACCCAUCCUAGUACUACUCUCGCCCAAGCACGCUUAACUGCGAAGUUCUGAUGGGAUCUGGUGCAUUAGUGCUGGUAUGAUCGCAUCUGUUACUACAUGCAAUGCAAUCGUAUCUAUUCUUUUUUGAAGAUUUUAUGAUUCAUUUACCGUGGGUCCCACCAGNNNNNNNNNNNNNNNNNNNNNNNNNNNNNNNNNNNNNNNNNNNNNNNNNNUCACGGUUUAAAAGUUAUAGAGUCAUACAUUUUUCCCAAAAAAACCAAGAGAAAACCAAAAAAAAAGAGUGAUGAAACACGAGGACUUUCCUGGAGGUCACCCAUCCUAGUACUACUCUCGCCCAAGCACGCUUAACUGCGAAGUUCUGAUGGGAUCUGGUGCAUUAGUGCUGGUAUGAUCGCAUCAGUUACUACAUGCAAUGCAAUCGUAUAUAUUCUUUUUUGAAGACUUUAUGAUCCAUUUGUCGUAGGUCCCACCAGUUAUGUAGGAAUACCCUAUCUCGUUUAUAAGAGCUUUGAUACAUGCAAAAUAUUCGAAAACAAUGUCCGAACAUAUAAUGUUUGCCCCAAAAUAUAGCAAAGACCACGAAAAUGCCAUAAAAAGUACAUUAAGGUCAAAAUUUGGAGUAGGAAAAAAAUCAAUAGGAGAAUUCCAUUUUCCUUCCUCAUUCAUUGGAGAGCUCUCUUUGGGCAUUCCAAAAAGGUAUCACAUGGCAAGUUUGGCCUCACGGUCUAAAAGUUAUAGAGUAAUACAUUUUUAACAAAAAAAAAAGAGAAAAACCGAAAAAAAGAGGGAUGCAACACGAAGACUUUUCUGGAGGUCACCCAUCCUAGUACUACUCUCCCCCAAGCACGCUUAACUGUGGUGUUCUGAUAGGAUCAAGUGCAUUAGUGCUGGUAUGAUCGCAUCAGUUACUACAUGCAAUGCAAUCAUAUAUAUUCUUUUUUGAAGACGUUAUGAUCCAUUUGCCGUAGGUCCCACCAGCUAUGUAGGAACACCCUAUCUUGUUUAUAAGAGCUUUGAUACAUGCAAAAUAUUCGAAAACAAUGUCCGAACAUAUAAUUUUUGUCCCGUAAUAUAGCAAAGAUCACGAAAAGGCCAGAAAAAAUACAUUUCGGUCAAAAUUUGGAGUAGAAAAAAAACCCUUCCUCAUUCAUUGGACAGCUCUCUUUGGGCUUUCCGAAAAGGUAUCACAUGCCAAGUUUGGCCUCACGGUCUAAAAGUUAUAGAGUCAUACAUUUUUCACAAAAAAAACAAGAGAAAAACAAAAAAAAAGAGUGAUGAAACACGAGGACUUUCCUGGAGGUCACCCAUCCUAGUACUACUCUCGCCCAAGCACGCUUAACUGCGAAGUUCUGAUGGGAUCUGGUGCAUUAGUGCUGGUAUGAUCGCAUCUGUUACUACAUGCAAUGCAAUCGUAUAUAUUCUUUUUUGAAGACUUUAUGAUCCAUUUGUCGUAGGUCCCACCAGUUAUGUAGGAAUACCCUAUCUCGUUUAUAAGAGCUUUGAUACAUGCAAAAUAUUCGAAAACAAUGUCCGAACAUAUAAUGUUUGCCCCAAAAUAUAGCAAAGACCACGAAAAUGCCAUAAAAAGUACAUUAAGGUCAAAAUUUGGAGUAGGAAAAAAAAUCAAUAGGAGAAUUCCAUUUUCCUUCCUCAUUCAUUGGAGAGCUCUCUUUGGGCAUUCCAAAAAGGUAUCACAUGCCAAGUUUGGCCUCACGGUCUAAAAGUUAUAGAGUAAUACAUUUUUAACAAAAAAAAAAGAGAAAAACCGAAAAAAAGAGGGAUGCAACACGAAGACUUUUCUGGAGGUCACCCAUCCUAGUACUACUCUCCCCCAAGCACGCUUAACUGUGGUGUUCUGAUAGGAUCAAGUGCAUUAGUGCUGGUAUGAUCGCAUCAGUUACUACAUGCAAUGCAAUCAUAUAUAUUCUUUUUUGAAGACUUUAUGAUCCAUUGUCGUAGGUCCCACCAGCUAUGUAGGAAUACCCUUUCUUGUUUAUAAGAGCUUUGAUACAUGGAAAAUAUUCGAAAACAAUGUCCGAACAUAUAAUUUUUGUCCCGUAAUAUAGCAAAGAUCACGAAAAGGCCAGAAAAAAUACAUUUCGGUCAAAAUUUGGAGUAGAAAAAAAGCCCUUCCUCAUUCAUUGGACAGCUCUCUUUGGGCUUUCCGAAAAGGUAUCACAUGCCAAGUUUGGCCUCACGGUCUAAACCUUAUAGACUCAUACAUUUUUCACAAAAAAAAGAAGAGAAAAGCCAAAAAAAAAGAGUGAUUAAACACGAGGACUUUCCUGGAGGUCACCCAUCCUAGUACUACUCUCGCCCAAGCACGCUUAACUGCGAAGUUCUGAUGGGAUCUGGUGCAUUAGUGCUGGUAUGAUCGCAUCUGUUACUACAUGCAAUGAAAUCGUAUCUAUUCUUUUUUGAAGAUUUUAUGAUUCAUUUACCGUGGGUCCCACCAGCUAUGUAGGAAUAACCUAUCUUAUUUAUAAGAUCUUUGAUACAUGCAAAAUAUUGGAAAACAAUGUCCGAACAUAUAAUGUUCGCCCCAAAAUAUAGCAAAGACCACAAAAAUGCCAUAAAAAGUACAUUAAGGUCAAAAUUUGGAGUAGGAAAAAAACCAAUAAGAGAAUUCCAUUUUCCUUCCCUCAUUCAUCGGAGAUCUCUCUUUGGGCAUUCCAAAAAGGUAUCACAUGCCAAGUUUGGCCUCACGGUCUAAAAGUUAUAGAGUAAUACAUUUUUAACAAAAAAAAAAAGAGAAAAACCGAAAAAAAGAGGGAUGCAACACGAAGACUUUUCUGGAGGUCACCCAUCCUAGUACUACUCUCCCCCAAGCACGCUUAACUGUGGUGUUCUGAUAGGAUCAAGUGCAUUAGUGCUGGUAUGAUCGCAUCAGUUACUACAUGUAAUGCAAUCAUAUAUAUUCUUUUUUGAAGACUUUAUGAUCCAUGUGCCGUAGGUCCCACCAGCUAUGUAGGAAUACCCUAUCUCAUUUAUAAGAGCUUUGAUACAUGCAAAAUAUUCGAAAACAAUGUCCGAACAUAUAAUGUUUGCCCCAAAAUAUAGCAAAGACCACGAAAAUGCCAUAAAAAGUACAUUAAGGUCAAAAUUUGGAGUAGGAAAAAAAAUCAAUAGGAGAAUUCCAUUUUCCUUCCUCAUUCAUUGGAGAGCUCUCUUUGGGCAUUCCAAAAAGGUAUCACAUGGCAAGUUUGGCCUCACGGUCUAAAAGUUAUAGAGUAAUACAUUUUUAACAAAAAAAAAAGAGAAAAACCGAAAAAAAGAGGGAUGCAACACGAAGACUUUUCUGGAGGUCACCCAUCCUAGUACUACUCUCCCCCAAGCACGCUUAACUGUGGUGUUCUGAUAGGAUCAAGUGCAUUAGUGCUGGUAUGAUCGCAUCAGUUACUACAUGCAAUGCAAUCAUAUAUAUUCUUUUUUGAAGACGUUAUGAUCCAUUUGCCGUAGGUCCCACCAGCUAUGUAGGAACACCCUAUCUUGUUUAUAAGAGCUUUGAUACAUGCAAAAUAUUCGAAAACAAUGUCCGAACAUAUAAUUUUUGUCCCGUAAUAUAGCAAAGAUCACGAAAAGGCCAGAAAAAAUACAUUUCGGUCAAAAUUUGGAGUAGAAAAAAAACCCUUCCUCAUUCAUUGGACAGCUCUCUUUGGGCUUUCCGAAAAGGUAUCACAUGCCAAGUUUGGCCUCACGGUCUAAAAGUUAUAGAGUCAUACAUUUUUCACAAAAAAAACAAGAGAAAAACAAAAAAAAAGAGUGAUGAAACACGAGGACUUUCCUGGAGGUCACCCAUCCUAGUACUACUCUCGCCCAAGCACGCUUAACUGCGAAGUUCUGAUGGGAUCUGGUGCAUUAGUGCUGGUAUGAUCGCAUCUGUUACUACAUGCAAUGCAAUCGNNNNNNNNNNNNNNNNNNNNNNNNNNNNNNNNNNNNNNNNNNNNNNNNNNUAUGAUCGCAUGUGUUACUACAUGCAAUGUAAUCGUAUCUAUUCUUUUUUAAAGACUUUAUGAUCCAUUUGCCGUGAGUCCCACCAGCUAUGUAGGAAUAUUCUAUCUUCUUUAUAAGAGCUUUGAUACAUGCAAAAUACNUGGAAAACAAUGUCCGAACAUAUAAUUUUCCCCCCGUAAUAUAGCANAGAUCACGAAAAGGCCCGAAAAAGUACAUUUAGUUCANAAUUUGGAGUAGAAAAAAAAACAAUAGAAGAAUUCCAUUUUCCUUCCUCAAUCAUCGGAGAGCUCUCUUUGGGCUUUCCGAAAAGGUAUCUCAUGCCAAGUUUGGCCUCACGAACUAAAAGUUAUAGAGUCAUACAUUUUUAACAAAACAAAAUAGAGAAAAACCGAAAAAAGAGGGAUGCAACACAAGGACUUUCCGGGAGGUCACCCAUCCUAGUACUACUCUCGCCCAAGCACCCUUAACUGCGGAGUUCUGAUGGGAUCCGGUGCAUUAGUGCUGGUAUGAUCGCCCGUGUUACUACAUGCAAUGCAAUCGUAUCUAUUCUUUUUUAAAGAUUUUAUGAUCCAUUUGCCGUGGGUCCCACCAGCUAUGUAGGAAUACCCUAUCUUCUUUAUAAGAGGUUUGAUACAUACAAAAUAUUGGAUCACAAUGUCAGAACAUAUAAUUUUCCCCCCUUAAUAUAGCAAAGAUCACUAAAAGGCCCGAAAAAAUACAUUUAGUUCAAAAUUUGGAGUAGAAAAAAAAACAAUAGAAGAAUUCCAUUUUCCUUCCUCAGUUAUCGGAGAACUCUCUUUGGGCUUUCCGAAAAGGUAUCACAUGCCAAGUUUGGCCUCACGGUCUAAAAGAUAUAGAGUCAUACAUUAUUAACAAAACAAAAUAGAGAAAAACCGAAAAAAAGAAGGAUGCAACACGAGGACUUUGCGGGAGGUAAUCUAUCCUAGUACUACUCUCGCCCAAGCACCCUUAACUGCGGAGUUCUGAUGGGAUCCGGUGCAUUAGUGCUGGUAUGAUCGCAUGUGUUACUACAUGCAAUGUAAUCGUAUCUAUUCUUUUUUAAAGACUUUAUGAUCCAUUUGCCGUGGGUCCCACCAGCUAUGUAGGAAUACUCUAUCUACUUUAUAAGAGCUUUGAUACAUGCAGAAUAUUGGAAAACAACGUCCGAACAUAUAAUUUCCCCCCCCCCCCCCGUAAUAUAGCAAAAAUCACGAAAAGGCCCGAAAAAGUACAUUUAGUUCAAAAUUUGGAGUAGAAAAAAAAACAAUAGAAGAAUUUCAUUUUCCUUCCUCAGUCAUCGGAGAGCUCUCUUUGGGCUUUCCAAAAAGGUAUCACAUGCCAAGUUUGGCCUCACAGUCUAAAAGUUAUAGAGUCAUACAUUUUUAACAAAACAAAAUAGAGAAAAACCGAAAAAAAGAGGGAUGCAACACGAGGACUUUCCGGGAGGUAAUCUAUCCUAGUACUACUCUCGCCCAAGCACCCUUAACUGCGGAGUUCUGAUGGGAUCCGGUGCAGUAGUGCUGGUAUGAUUGCAUGUGUUACUACAUGCAAUGUAAUCGUAUCUAUUCUUUUUUAAAGACUUUAUGAUCCAUUUGCCGUGAGUCCCACCAGCUAUGUAGGAAUAUUCUAUCUUCUUUAUAAGAGCUUUGAUACAUGCAAAAUACUGGAAAACAGUGUCCGAACAUAUAAUUUUCCCCCCGUAAUAUAGCAAAGAUCACGAAAAGGCCCGAAAAAGUACAUUUAGUUCAAAAUUUGGAGUAGAAAAAAAAACAAUAGAAGAAUUCCAUUUUCCUUCCUCAAUCAUCGGAGAGCUCUCUUUGGGCUUUCCGAAAAGGUAUCUCAUGCCAAGUUUGGCCUCACGAACUAAAAGUUAUAGAGUCAUACAUUUUUAACAAAACAAAAUAGAGAAAAACCGAAAAAAGAGGGAUGCAACACAAGGACUUUCCAGGAGGUCACCCAUCCUAGUACUACUCUCGCCCAAGCACCCUUAACUGCGGAGUUCUGAUGGGAUCCGGUGCAUUAGUGCUGGUAUGAUCGCAUGUGUUACUACAUGCAAUGUAAUCGUAUCUAUUCUUUUUUAAAGAUUUUAUGAUCCAUUUGCCGUGGGUCCCACCAGCUAUGUAGGAAUACCCUAUCUUCUUUAUAAGAGCUUUGAUACAUACAAAAUAUUGGAUCACAAUGUCAGAACAUAUAAUUUUCCCCCCUUAAUAUAGCAAAGAUCACUAAAAGGCCCGAAAAAAUACAUUUAGUUCAAAAUUUGGAGUAGAAAAAAAAACAAUAAAAGAAUUCCAUUUUCCUUCCUCAGUUAUCGGAGAACUCUCUUUGGGCUUUCCGAAAAGGUAUCACAUGCCAAGUUUGGCCUCACGGUCUAAAAGAUAUAGAGUCAUACAUUAUUAACAAAACAAAAUAGAGAAAAACCGAAAAAAAUAGGGAUGCAACACGAGGACUAUCCUGGAGGUCACCCAUCCUAGUACUAAUCUCGCCCAACCACCCUUAACUGCGUAGUUCUGAUGGGAUCCGAUGCAUUAGUGCUGGUAUGAUCGCAUUUGUUACUAUAUGCAAUAUAAUCGUAUCUAUUCUUUUUUAAAGACUUUAUGAUCCAUUUGCCGUGGGUCCCACCAGCUAUGUAGGAUACCCUAUCUUCAUAAUAAGAGCUUUGAUAAAUGCAAAAUAUUGGAAAACAAUGUCCGAACAUAUAAUUUCCCCCCCCCCCCCCGGUAAUAUAGCAAAGAUCACGAAAUAGCCCAAAAAAGUACAUUUAGGUCAAAAUUUGAGUAGAAAAAAAACAAAUAGAGGAAUUCCAUUUUCCGUCCUCAUUCAUCGGAGAGCUCUCUUUCGGCUUUCCGAAAAGGUAUCACAUGCCAAGUUUGGCCUCACGGUCUAAAAGUUAUAGAGUCAUACAUUUUAAACAAAACAAAAUAGAGAAAAACCGAAAAAAAGAAGGAUGCAACACGAGGACUUUCCGGGAGGUCACCCAUCCUAGUACUACUCUCGCCCAAGCACCCUUAACUGCGGAGUUCUGAUGGGAUCAGGUGCAUUAGUGCUGGUAUGAUCGCAUGUGGUACUACAUGCAAUGUAAUCGUAUAUAUUCUUUUUUAAAGACUUUAUGAUCCAUUUGCCGUGGGUCCCACCAGCUAUGUAGGAAUACCCUAUCUUCUUUAUAAGAGCUUUGAUACAUGCAAAAUAUUUGAAAACAAUGUCCGAACAUAUAAUUUUCCCCCCGUUAUAUAGCAAAGAUCACGAAAAGGCCCGAAAAAGUACAUUUAGUUCAAAAUUUGGAGUAGAAAAAAAGACAAUAGAAGAAUUUCAUUUUCCUUCCUCAGUAAUCGGAGAGCUCUCUUUGGGCUUUCCGAAAAGGUAUCACAUGCCAAGUUUGGCUUCACGGUAUAAAAGUUAUAGAGUCAUACAUUUUUAACAAAAAAAAACUAGAAAAACAGAAAAAAAGAGGGAUGCAAUACGAGGACUUUCCAGGAGGUCACCCAUCCUAGUACAACUCUCGCCGAAGCACGCUUAACUGCGGUGUUCAGAUGGGAUCUGGUGCAUUAGUGCUGGUAUGAUGGCAUUUGUUACUACAUGCAAUGCAAUCGUAUCUAUUCUUUUGUAAAGACUUUAUGAUCCAUUUGCCGUGGGUUCCACCAGCUAUGUAGGAAUACCCUAUCUUGUUUAUAAGAGAUUUGAUACAUGCAAAAUAUUCGAACACAAUGUCCGAACAUAUAAUUUUUGCCCCGUAAUAUAGCAAAGAUCACGAAAAGGCCCGAAAAAGUACAUUAAGGUCAAAAUUUGGAGUAGAAAAAAAACACAAUAGAAGUAUUCCAUUGUCCUUCGUCAUUCAUCGAAGAGCUCUCUUUGGGCUUUUCGAAAUGAUAUCAUAUGCCAAGUUUGGCCUCACGGUCUAAAAUUUAUAGAGUCAUACAUUUUUAACAAAACAAAAAGAGAAAAACCGAAAAAAAGAGGGAUGCAACACGAGGACUUUCCUGGAGGUCACCCAUCCUAGUACUACUCUCGCCCAAGCACCCUUAACUGCGUAGUUCUGAUGGGAUCCGAUGCAUUAGUGCUGGUAUGAUCGAAUCUGUUACUACAUGUAAUGCAAUCAUAUAUAUUCUUUUUUGAAGACUUUAUGAUCCAUUUGCCGUAGGUCCCACCAGCUAUGUAGGAAUACCCUAUCUCGUUUAUAAGAGCUUUGAUACAUGCAAAAUAUUCGAAAACAAUGUCCGAACAUAUAAUGUUUGCCCCAAAAUAUAGCAAAGACCACGAAAAUGCCAUAAAAAGUACAUUAAGGUCAAAAUUUGGAGUAGGAAAAAAAAUCAAUAGGAGAAUUCCAUUUUCCUUCCUCAUUCAUCGGAGAGCUCUCUUUGGGCAUUCCAAAAAGGUAUGACAUGCCAAGUUUGGCCUCACGGUCUAAAAGUUAUAGAGUAAUACAUUUUUAACAAAAAAAAAAGAGAANAAACCGAAAAAAAGAGGGAUGCAACACGAAGACUUUUCUGGAGGUCAUCCAUCCUAGUACUACUCUCCCCCAAGCACGCUUAACUGUGGUGUUCUGAUAGGAUCAAGUGCAUUAGUGCUGGUAUGAUCGCAUCAGUUACUACAUGCAAUGCAAUCAUAUAUAUNNNNNNNNNNNNNNNNNNNNNNNNNNNNNNNNNNNNNNNNNNNNNNNNNNAAAGUCAAAAUUUGGAGUAGAAAAAAACCCAAUAGAAGUAUUCCAUUCUCCUUCGUCAUUCAUCGGAGAGCUCUCUUUAGGCUUUCCGAAAAGAUAUCACAUGCCAAGUUUGGCCUCACGGUUUAAAAGUUAUAGAGUCAUAGAUUUUUAACAAAACAAAAAGAGAAAAACCGAAAAAAAUUGGGAUGCAACACGAGGACUUUCCUGGAGGUCACCCAUCCUAGUACUACUCUCGCCCAAGCACCCUUAACUGCGUAGUUCUGAUGGGAUCCGAUGCUNUAGUGCUGGUAUGAUCGCAUCUGUUACUACAUGCAAUGUAAUCGUAUCUAUUCUUUNUUAAAGACUUUAUGAUCCAUUUGCCGUGGGUCCCACCAGCUAUGUAGGAAUACCCUAUCUUCUNUAUAAGAGCNUUUGAUAAAUGCANAAUAUUGGAAACCAAUGUCCGAACAUAUAAUUUCGCCCCCGUAAUAUAGCANAGAUCACGAAAAAGCCCAAAAAAGUUCAUUUAGGUCAAAAUUUGAGCAGAAGAAAAAGAAAUAGAAGAAUUCCAUUUUCCUUCCUCAUUUAUUGGAGAGCUCUCUUUGGGCUUUCCGAAAAGGUAUCACAUGCCAAGUUUGGCCUCACGGUCUAAAAGUUAUAGAGUCAUACAUUUUUAACAAAAUGAAAUAGAGAAAAACCGAAAAAAAGAGGGAUGUAACACGAGGACUUUCCGGGAGGUAAUCUAUCCUACUACUACUCUCGGCCAAGCACCCUUAACUGCGGAGUUCUAAUGGGAUCCGGUGCAUUAGUGCUGGUAUGAUCGCAUGUGUUACUACAUGCAAUGUAAUCGUAUCUAUUCUUUUUUAAAGACUUUAUGAUCCAUUUGCCGUGGGUCCCACCAGCUAUGUAGGAAUACCCUAUCUUCUUUAUAAGAGCUUUGAUACAUGCAAAAUAUAUGAAAAAAACGUCCGAACAUAUAAUUUUCCCCCCGUAAUAUAGCAAAGAUCAUGAAAAGGCCCAAAAAAGUACAUUAAUGUCAAAAUUUGGCGUAGAAAAAAAACCAAUAGACAUAUUCCAUUGUCCUUCGUCAUUCAUUGAAGAGCUCUCUUUGGGCUUUCCGAAAAGGUAUCACAUGCCAAGUUUGGCCUCACGGUCUAAAAGUUAUAGAGUCAUACAUUUUUAACAAUACAAAAUAGAGAAAAACCGAAAAAAAGAGGGAUGCAACACGAGGACUUUCCGGGAGGUAAUCCAUCCUAGUACUACUCUCGCCCAAGCACCCUUAACUGCGGAGUUCUGAUGGGACCCGGUGCAUUAGUGCUGGUAUGAUCGCAUCUGUUACUAUAUGCAAUGUAAUCGUAUCUAUUCUUUUUUAAAGACUUUAUGAUCCAUUUGCCGUGGGUCCCACCAGCUAUGUAGGAAUACCCUAUCUUCUUUAUAAGAGCUUUGAUAUAUGCAAAAUAUUGGAACACCAUGUCCGAACAUAUAAUUUUUCCCGUGUAAUAUAGCAAAGAUCAAGAAAAAGAAAAAAAAGUACAUUUAGGUCAAAAUUUGAGUAGAAAAAAACAAAUAGAAGAAUUCCAUUUUCCUUCCUCAUUCAGCUGAGAGCUCUCUUUGGGCUUUCCGAAAAGGUAUCAUAUGCCAAGUUUGGCCUCACAGUGUAAAAGUUAUAGAGUCUAACAUUUUUAACAAAACAAAAUAGAGAAAAACCAAAAAAAGAGGGAUGCAACACGAGGACUUUCUGGGAGGUCACCCAUCCUAGUACUACUCUCGCCCAAGCACCCUUAACUGCGGAGUUCUGAUGGGAUCCGGUGCAUUAGUGCUGGUAUGAUCGCAUGUGUUACUACAUGCAAUGUAAUCCUAUCUAUUCUUUCUUAAAGACUUUAUGAUCCAUUUGCCGUGAGUCCCACCAGCUAUGUAGGAAUACCCUAUCUUCUUUAUAAGAGCUUUGAUACAUGCAAAAUAUUGGAAAACAAUGUCCGAACAUAUAGUUUUCCCCCGUAAUAUAGCAAAGAUCACGAAAAGGCCCGAAAAAGUACAUUUAGUUCAAAAUUGGGAGUAGAAAAAAAAAACAAUAGAAGAAUUCCAUUUUACUUCCUCAGUCAUCGGAGAGCUCUCUUUGGGCUUUCCGAAAAGGUAUCACAUGCCCAGUUUGGCCUCACGGUCUAAAAGUUAUAAAGUCAUACAUUUUUAACAAAAAAAAAAGAGAAAAACCGAAAAAAAGAGGGAUGCAAUACGAGGACUUUCCACGAGGUCACCCAUCCUAGUACAACUCUCGCCAAAGCAUGCUUAACUGCGGAGUUUAGAUGGGAUCUGGUGCAUUAGUGCUGGUAUGAUCGCAUCUGUUACUACAUGCAAUGCAAUCGUAUCUAUUCUUAUUUAAAGACUUUAUCAUCCAUUUGCCAUGGGUCCCACCUGUAGGAAUACCCAAUCUUGUUUAUAAGAGCUUUGAUACAUGCAAAAUAUUCGAAAACAACGUCCGAACAUAUAAUUUUCGCCCCGUAAUAUAGCAAAGAUCACGAAAAGGCCCGAAAAAGUACAUUAAGGUCAAAAUUUGGAAUAGAAAAAAAAACCAAAAGAAGUAUUCCAUUGUCCUUUGUCAUUCAUCGAAGAGCUCUCUUUGGGCUUUCCGAAAAGGUAUCGCAAGCCAAGUUUGGCCUCACGGUUUAAAAGUUAUAAAGUCAUACAUUUUUAACAAAAAAAAAAAGAGAAAAAACCGAAAAAAAGAGGGAUGCAACACGAGGACUUUUCUGGAGGUCACCCAUCCUAGUACUACUCUCGCCCGAUCACCCUUAACUGCGUAGUUUUGAUGGGAUUCGAUGCAUUAGUGCUGGUAUGAUCGCAUCUGUUACUACAUGCAAUGUAAUCGUAUCUAUUCUUUUUUAAAGACUUUAUGAUCCAUUUGCCGUGGGUCCCACCAGCUAUGUAGGAAUACCCUAUCUUCUUUAUAAGAGCUUUGAUAUAUGCAAAAUAGUGGAAAACCAUGUCCGAACAUAUAAUUUUUCCCCUGUAAUAUAGCAAAGAUCAAGAAAAAGCCAAAAAAAGUAUAUUUAGGUCAAAAUUUGGAGUAGAAAAAAAAACAAUAGAAGAAUUCCAUUUUCCUUCCUCAGUCAUCGGAGAGCUCUCUUUCGGCUUUCCGAAAAGGUAUCAAAUGCCAAGUUUGGCCUCACGGUCUAAAAGUUAUAGAGUCAUACAUUUUUAACAAUACAAAGUAGAGAAAACCGGAAAAAAGAGGGAUGCAACAUGAGGACUUUCCGGGAGGUAAUCCAUCCUAGUACAACUCUUGCCCAAGCACCCUUAACUGCGGAGUUCUGAUGGAAUCCGGUGCAUUAGUGCUGGUAUGAUCGCAUGUGUUACUACAUGNNNNNNNNNNNNNNNNNNNNNNNNNNNNNNNNNNNNNNNNNNNNNNNNNNCCAAAAAGGUAUCACAUGCCAAGUUUGGCCUCNCGGUCUAAAAGUUAUAGAGUCAUACAUUUUUAACAAACCAAAAUAGAGAAAACCGGAAAAAAGAGGGAUGCAACACGAGGACUUUCCGGGAGGUCACCCAUCCUAGUACUACUUUCGCCCAAGCACCCUUAACUGCGGAGUUCUGAUGGGAUCCGGUGCAUUAGUGCUGGUAUGAUCGCAUGUGUUACUACAUGCAAUGUAAUCAUAUUUCUUGUUAUUUAAAGAUUUUAUGAUCCAUUUGCCGUGGGUCCCACCAUCUAUGUAGGAAUACCUUAUCUUCUUUAUAGGAGCUUUGAUACAUGCAAAAUAUUGGAAAACAAUAUCCGAACAUAUAUCUUUCCCCCCGUAAUAUAGCAAAGAUCGCGAAAAGGCCCGAAAAAGUACAUUUAGGUCAAAAUUUGGAGAGGAAAAAAAAAGCAAUAGAAGAAUUCCAUUUUCCUUCCUCAGUCAUCGGAGAGCUCUCUUUGGGCUUUCCGAAAAGGUAUCACAUGCCAAGUUUGGCCUCAUGGUCUAAAAGUUAUAGAGCCAUACAUUUUUAACAAAACAAAAUAGAGAAAAACCAAAAAAAGAGAGGGAUGCAACACGAGGACUUUCCGGGAGGUCACCCAUCCUAGUACUACUCUCGCCCAAGCACCCUUAACUGCGGAGUUCUGAUGGGAUCCAGUGCAUUAGUGCUGGUAUGAUCGCAUGUGUUACUACAUGCAAUGUAAUCGUAUCUAUUCUUUUUUAAAGAUUAUAUGAUCCAUUUGCCGUGGGUCCCACCAGCUAUGUAGGAAUACCCUAUCUUCUUUAUAAGAGCUUUGAUACAUGCAAAAUAUUGGAAAACAAUGUCCGAACAUAUAAUUUUCCCCCCGUAAUAUAGCAAAGAUCACGAAAAGGCCCAAAAAAGUACAUUUAGGUCAAAAUUUGGAGUUGAAAAAAAACAAAAAGAAGAAUUCCAUUUUCCUUCCUCAUUCAUUGGAGAGCUCUCUUUGGGCUUUCCGAAAAGGUAUCACAUGCCAUGUUUAGCCUCACGGUCUAAAAGUUAUAGAGUCAUACAUUUUUAACAAAACAAAAUAGAGAAAAACCAAAAAAACGAGGGAUGCAACACGAGGACUUUCUGGGAAGUCACCCAUCCUAGUACUACUCUCGCCCAAGCACCCUUAACUGCGGAGUUCUGAUGGGAUCCGGUGCAUUAGUGCUGGUAUGAUCGCAUGUGUUACUACAUGCAAUGUAAUCGUAUCUAUUGCUUUUAAAGACUUUAUGAUCCAUUUGCCGUGGGUCCCACCAGCUAUGUAGGAAUACCCUAUCUUCUUUAUAAGAGUUUUCAUACAUGCAAAAUAUUGGAAAACAAUGUCCGAACAUAUAAUUUUCCCCCCGUAAUAUAGCAAAGAUCACGAAAAGGCCCAAAAAAGUACAUUUAGUUCAAAAUUUGGAGUAGAAAAAAAAAUAAUAGAAAAUUUCCAAUUUCCUUCUUCAUUCAUCGGAGAGCUCUCUUUGGGCUUUCCGAAAAGGUAUCACAUGCCAAGUUUGGCCUCACGGUCUAAAAGUUAUAAAGUCAUACAUUUUUAACAAAACAAAAUAGAGAAAAACGGAAAAAGAGGGAUGCAACACGUGGACUUUCCGGGAGGUCACCCAUCCUAGUACUACUCUCGUCCAAGGACCCUUAACUGCGGAGUUCUGUUGGGAUCCGUUGCAUUAGUGCUGGUAUGAUCGCAUGUGUUACUACAUGCAAUGUAAUCGUAUCUAUUCUUUUUUAAAGACUUUAUGAUCCAUUUGCCGUGGGUCCCACCAACUAUGUAGGAAUACCCUAUCUUCUUUAUAAGAGCUUUGAUACAUGCAAAAUAUUGGAAAACAAUGUCCGAACACAUAAUUUUUCCCCCAUAAUAUAACAAAGAUCACGAAAAGGCCCGAAAUAGUACAUUUAGUUCAAAAUUUGGAGUAGAAAAAAAACCAGUUUAAGAAUUCCAUUUUCCUUCCUCAUUCAUCGGAGAGCUCUCUUUGGACUUUCCGAAAAGGUAUCACAUGCCAAGUUUGGCCUCACGGUCUAAAAGUUAUAGAGUCAUACAUUUUUAACAAAACAAAAUAGAGAAAAACAGAAAAAAGAGGGAUGCAACACGAGGACUUUCCGGGAGGUCACCCAUCCUAGUACUACUCUCGCCCAAGCACCCUUAACUGCAGAGUUCUGCUGGGAUCCGGUGCAUUAGUGCUGGUAUGAUCGCAUCUGUUACUACAUGCAAUGUAAUCGUAUCUAUUCUUUUUUAAAGCUUUUAUGAUCCAUUUGCCGUGGGUCCCACCAGCUAUGUAGGAAUACCCUAUCUUCUUUAUAAGAGCUUUGAUACAUGCAAAAUAUUGGAAAACAAUGUCCGAACAUAUAAUUUCCCCCCUCGUAAUAUAGCAAAGAUCACAAAAAGGCUCGAAAAAGUACAUUUAGUUCAAAAUUUGGAGUAGAAAAAAACCAACAGAAAAAUUCCAAUUUCCUCCCUCAUUCAUCGGAGAGCUCUCUUUGGGCUUUCCAAAAAGGUAUCACAUGCCAAGUUUGGCCUCACGGUCUAAAAGUUAUAGAGUCAUACAUUUUUAACAAAACAAAAUAGAGAAAAACGGAAAAAAGAGGGAUGCAACACGAGGACUUUCCGGGAGGUCACCCAUCCUAGUACUACUCUCGUCCAAGGACCCUUAACUGCGAAGUUCUGAUGGGAUCCGUUGCAUUAGUGCUGGUAUGAUCGCAUGUGUUACUACAUGCAAUGUAAUCGUAUCUAUUCUUUUUUAAAGACUUUAUGAUCCAUUUGCCGUGGGUCCCACCAGCUAUAUAGGAAAACCCAAUCUUCUUUAUAAGAGCUUUGAUACAUGCAAAAUAUUGGAAAACAAUGUCCGAACAUAUAAUUUUCCCCCAUAAUAUAGCAAAGAUCACGAAAAGGCCCGAAAAAGUACAUUUAGUUCAAAAUUUGGAGUAGAAAAAAAGACAGUAAAAGAAUUCCAUUUUCCUUCCUCAGUGAUCGGAGAGCUCUCUUUGGACUUUCCGAAAAGGUAUCACAUGCCAAGUUUGGCCUCACGGUCUAAAAGUUAUAGAGUCAUACAUUUUUAACAAAACAAAAUAGAGAAAAACGGAAAAAAGAGGGAUGCAACACGAGGACUUUCCGGGAGGUCACCCAUCCUAGUACUACUUUCGCCCAAGCACCCUUAACUGCGGAGUUCUGAUGGGAUCCGGUGCAUUAGUGCUGGUAUGAUCGCAUGUGUUACUACAUGCAAUGUAAUCAUAUUUCUUGUUAUUUAAAGAUUUUAUGAUCCAUUUGCCGUGGGUCCCACCAUCUAUGUAGGAAUACCUUAUCUUCUUUAUAGGAGCUUUGAUACAUGCAAAAUAUUGGAAAACAAUAUCCGAACAUAUAUCUUUCCCCCCGUAAUAUAGCAAAGAUCGCGAAAAGGCCCGAAAAAGUACAUUUAGGUCAAAAUUUGGAGAAGAAAAAAAAAGCAAUAGAAGAAUUCCAUUUUCCUUCCUCAGUCAUCGGAGAGCUCUCUUUGGGCUUUCCGAAAAGGUAUCACAUGCCAAGUUUGGCCUCAUGGUCUAAAAGUUAUAGAGCCAUACAUUUUUAACAAAACAAAAUAGAGAAAAACCAAAAAAAGAGAGGGAUGCAACACGAGGACUUUCCGGGAGGUCACCCAUCCUAGUACUACUCUCGCCCAAGCACCCUUAACUGCGGAGUUCUGAUGGGAUCCAGUGCAUUAGUGCUGGUAUGAUCGCAUGUGUUACUACAUGCAAUGUAAUCGUAUCUAUUCUUUUUUAAAGAUUAUAUGAUCCAUUUGCCGUGGGUCCCACCAGCUAUGUAUGAAUACCCUAUCUUCUUUAUAAGAGCUUUGAUACAUGCAAAAUAUUGGAAAACAAUGUCCGAACAUAUAAUUUUCCCCCCGUAAUAUAGCAAAGAUCACGAAAAGGCCCAAAAAAGUACAUUUAGGUCAAAAUUUGGAGUUGAAAAAAAACAAAAAGAAGAAUUCCAUUUUCCUUCCUCAUUCAUUGGAGAGCUCUCUUUGGGCUUUCCGAAAAGGUAUCACAUGCCAUGUUUAGCCUCACGGUCUAAAAGUUAUAGAGUCAUACAUUUUUAACAAAACAAAAUAGAGAAAAACCAAAAAAACGAGGGAUGCAACACGAGGACUUUCUGGGAAGUCACCUAUCCUAGUACUACUCUCGCCCAAGCACCCUUAACUGCGGAGUUCUGAUGGGAUCCGGUGCAUUAGUGCUGGUAUGAUCGCAUGUGUUACUACAUGCAAUGUAAUCGUAUCUAUUGCUUUUAAAGACUUUAUGAUCCAUUUGCCGUGGGUCCCACCAGCUAUGUAGGAAUACCCUAUCUUCUUUAUAAGAGUUUUCAUACAUGCAAAAUAUUGGAAAACAAUGUCCGAACAUAUAAUUUUCCCCCCGUAUAUAGCAAAGAUCACGAAAAGGCCCAAAAAAGUCCUUUAAGGUCAAAAUUUGAAGUUGAAAAAAAACAAAAAGAAAAAUUCCAUUUUCCUUCCUCAUUCAUUGAAAAGCUCUCUUUGGGCUUUCCGAAAAGGUAUCACAUGCCAUGUUUAGCCUCACGGUCUAAAAGUUAUAGAGUCAUACAUUUUUAACAAAACAAAAUAGAGAAAAACCAAAAAAACGAGGGAUGCAACACGAGGACUUUCUGGGAAGUCACCUAUCCUAGUACUACUCUCGCCCAAGCACCCUUAACUGCGGAGUUCUGAUGGGAUCCGGUGCAUUAGUGCUGGUAUGAUCGCAUGUGUUACUACAUGCAAUGUAAUCGUAUCUAUUGCUUUUAAAGACUUUAUGAUCCAUUUGCCGUGGGUCCCACCAGCUAUGUAGGAAUACCCUAUCUUCUUUAUAAGAGUUUUCAUACAUGCAAAAUAUUGGAAAACAAUGUCCGAACAUAUAAUUUUCCCCCCGUAAUAUAGCAAAGAUCACGAAAAGGCCCAAAAAAGUACAUUUAGUUCAAAAUUUGGAGUAGAAAAAAAAACAAUAGAAAAUUUCCAAUUUCCUUCUUCAUUCAUCGGAGAGCUCUCUUUGGGCUUUCCGAAAAGGUAUCACAUGCCAAGUUUGGCCUCACGGUCUAAAAGUUAUAAAGUCAUACAUUUUUAACAAAACAAAAUAGAGAAAAACGGAAAAAGAGGGAUGCAACACGUGGACUUUCCGGGAGGUCACCCAUCCUAGUACUACUCUCGUCCAAGGACCCUUAACUGCGGAGUUCUGUUGGGAUCCGUUGCAUUAGUGCUGGUAUGAUCGCAUGUGUUACUACAUGCAAUGUAAUCGUAUCUAUUCUUUUUUAAAGACUUUAUGAUCCAUUUGCCGUGGGUCCCACCAACUAUGUAGGAAUACCCUAUCUUCUUUAUAAGAGCUUUGAUACAUGCAAAAUAUUGGAAAACAAUGUCCGAACAUAUAAUUUUUCCCCCAUAAUAUAACAAAGAUCACGAAAAGGCCCGAAAAAGUACAUUUAGUUCAAAAUUUGGAGUAGAAAAAAACCAGUUUAAGAAUUCCAUUUUCCUUCCUCAUUCAUCGGAGAGCUCUCUUUGGACUUUCCGAAAAGGUAUCACAUGCCAAGUUUGGCCUCACGGUCUAAAAGUUAUAGAGUCAUACAUUUUUAACAAAACAAAAUAGAGAAAAACAGAAAAAAGAGGGAUGCAACACGAGGACUUUCCGGGAGGUCACCCAUCCUAGUACUACUCUCGCCCAAGCACCCUUAACUACAGAGUUCUGCUGGGAUCCGGUGCAUUAGUGCUGGUAUGAUCGCAUCUGUUACUACAUGCAAUGUAAUCGUAUCUAUUCUUUUUUAAAGCUUUUAUGAUCCAUUUGCCGUGGGUCCCACCAGCUAUGUAGGAAUACCCUAUCUUCUUUAUAAGAGCUUUGAUACAUGCAAAAUAUUGGAAAACAAUGUCCGAACAUAUAAUUUCCCCCCUCGUAAUAUAGCAAAGAUCACAAAAAGGCUCGAAAAAGUACAUUUAGGUCAAAAUUUGGAGUAGAAAAAAAAACAAUAGAAGAAUUCCAUUUUCCUUCCUCAGUCAUUGGAGAGAUCUCUUUGGGCUUUGCGAAAAGGUAUCACAUGCCAAGUUUGGCCUCACGGUCUAAAAGUUAUAAAGUCAUACGUUUUUAGCAAAAAAAAAAGAGAAAAACCGAAAAAAAGAGGGAUGCAACACGAGGUCACCCAUUCUAGUACUACUCUCGCCCAAGCACCCUUAACUGCGUAGUUCUGAUGGGAUCUGAGGCAUUAGUGCUUGUAUGAUCGCAUCUGUUACUACAUGCAAUGUAAUCGUAAAUAUUCUUUUUUAAAGACUUUAUUAUCCAUUUGCCGUGGGUCCAACCAGCUAUGUAGGGAUACCCUAUCUUCUUUAUAAGAGCUUUGACACAUGCAAAAUAUUGGAAAAGAAUGUCCGAACAUAUUCUUUUCCCCCCGUAAUAUAGCAAAGAUCACGAAAAGGCCCGAAAAUGUAUAUUAAGUUCAAAAUUUGGAGUAGAAAAAAAAAACAAUAGAUGAAUUCCAUUUUCCUUCCUCAUUCAUUGGAGAGCUCUCUUUGGGCUUUCCGAAAAGGUAUGACAUUUCAAGUUUGGCCUCAUGGUCUCAAAGUUAUAAAGUCAUACAUUUUUCACAAAAAAAAAAAAAAGAAAAACCAAAAAAAAAAAGAGGGAUGUAACACGAGGACUUUUUUGGGAGGUCACCCAUCCUAGUACUACUCUCGCCCAAGCACGCUUAACUGCGGAGUUCUGAUGGGAUCCAGUUCAUUAGUGCUGGUAUGAUCGCAUGUGUUACUAUAUGCAAUGUAAUCGUAUCUAUUCUUUUUUAAUGACUUUAUGAUCCAUUUGCUGUGAGUCCCACCAGCUAUGUAGGAAUACCCUAUCUUCUCUAUAAGAGCUUUGAUACAUGCAAAAUAUUGGAAAACAAUGUCCGAACAUAUAGUUUUCCCCCCGUAAUAUAGCAAAGAUCACGAAAAGGCCCGAAAAGGUACAUUUAGUUCAAAAUUUGGAGUAGAAGAAAAAACAAUAGAAGAAUUCCAUUUCCCUUCCUCAGUCAUCGGAGAGCUCUCUUUGGGCUUUCCAAAAAGGUAUCACAUGCCAAGUUUGGCCUCACGGUCUAAAAGUUAUAGAGUCAUACAUUUUUAACAAUACAAAAUAGAGAAAAACCGAAAAAAAAGAGGGAUGCAACACGAGGACUUUCCGGGAGGUAAUCCAUCCUAGUACUACUCUCGCCCAAGCACCCUUAACUGCGGAGUUCUGAUGGGAUCCGAUGCAUUAGUGCUGGUAUGAUCGCAUGUGUUACUACAUGCAAUGUAAUCGUAUCUAUUCUUUUUUAAAGACUUUAUGAUCCAUUUGCCGUGGGUCCCACCAGCUAUGUAGGAUUAGCCUAUCUUGUUUAUAAGAGCUUUGAUACAUGCAAAAUAUUGGAAACCAAUGUCCAAACAUAUAAUUUUCACCCCGUAAUAUAGCAAAGAUCACGAAAAGUCCCGAAAAAGUACAUUUAGGUCAAAAUUUGGAAUAGAAAAAAAAAAAAUAGGAGUAUUCCAUUUUCCUUCCUCAUUCAUCGGAGAGCUCUCUUUGAGCUUUCUGAAAAGGUAUCACAUGCCAAGUUUGGCCUCACGGUCUAAAAGUUAUAGAGUCAUACAUUUUUAAAAAUACAAAAUAGAGAAAAACCGAAGAAAAGAGGGAUGCAACACGAGGACUUUCCGGGAGGUAAUCCAUCCUAGUACUACUCUCGCCCAAGCACCCUUAACUGCGAAGUUCUAAUGGAAUCCGGUACAUUAGUGCUGGUAUGAUCGCAUCUGUUACUAUAUGCAAUGUAAUCGUAUCUAUUCUUUUUUAAAGACUUUAUGAUCCAUUUGCCGUGGGUCUCACCAGCUAUGUAGGAAUACCCUAUCUUCUUUAUAAGAGCUUUGAUAUAUGCAAAAUAUUGGAACACCAUGUCCGAACAUAUAAUUUUUCCCGUGUAAUAUAGCAAAGAUCAAGAAAAAGCCAAAAAAGUACAUUUAGGUCAAAAUUUGAGUAGAAAAAAACAAAUAGAAGAAUUCUAUAUUCCUUCCUCAUUCGUCGGAGAGCUCUCUUUGGGCUUUCCGAAAAGGUAUCAUAUGCCAAGUUUGGCCUCGCGGUCUAAAAGUUACGGAGUCUAACAUUUUUAACAAAACAAAAUAGAGAAAAACCGAAAAAAGAGGGAUGCAACACGAGGACUUUCCGGGAGGUCACCCAUCCUAGUACUACUCUCGCCCAAGCACCCUUAACUGCGGAGUUCUGAUGGGAUCCGGUGCAUUAGUGCUGGUAUGAUCGCAUGUGUUACUACAUGCAAUGUAAUCGUAUCUAUUCUUUCUUAAAGACUUUAUGAUCCAUUUGCCGUGAGUCCCACCAGCUAUGUAGGAAUACCCUAUCUUCUUUAUAAGAGCUUUGAUACAUGCAAAAUAUUGGAAAACAAUGUCCGAACAUAUAGUUUUCCCCCCGUAAUAUAGCAAAGAUCACGAAAAGGCCCGAAAAAGUACAUUUAGUUCAAAAUUUGGAGUAGAAAAAAAAACAAUAGAAGAAUUCCAUUUUCCUUCCUCAUUCAUCGGAGAGCUCUCUUUGGGCUUUCCGAAAAAGUAUCACAUGCCAAGUUUGGCCUCACGGUCUAAACGUUAUAGAGUCAUACAUUUUUAACAAUACAAAAUAGAGAAAAACCGAAAAAAGAGGGAUGCUACACGAAGACUUUCCGGGAGGUAAUCCAUCCUAGUACUACUCUUGCCCAAGCACCCUUAACUGCGGAGUUCUGAUGGAAUCUGGUGCAUUAGUGCUGGUAUGAUCGCAUGUGUUACUACAUGCAAUGUAAUCGUAUCUAUUCUUUUUUAAAGACUUUAUGAUCCAUUUGCCGUGGGUCCCACCAGCUAUGUAGGAAUACCCUAUUUUCUUUAUAAGAGCUUUGAUACAUGCAAAAUAUAUGAAAAAAACGUUCGAACAUAUAAUUUUCCCCCCGUAAUAUAGCAAAGAUCACGAAAAGGCUCGAAAAAUUACAUUUAGUUCAAAAUUUUUAGUAGAAAAAACCCAAUAGAAGAAUUCCAUUUUCCUUCCUCAGUCAUCGGAGAGCUCUCUUUGGGCUUUCCGAAAAGGUAUCACAUGCCAAGUUUGGCCUCACGGUCUAAAAGUUAUAGAGUCAUACAUUUUUAACAAAACAAAAUUGAGAAAAACCGAAAAAAAGAGGGAUGCAACACGAGGACUCUCCAAAAGGUAACCCAUCUUAGUACUACUCUCGCCCAAGCACCCUUAACUGCGGAGUUCUGAUGGGACCCGGUGCAUUUGUGCUGGUAUGAUCGCAUGUGUCACUACAUGCAAUGUAAUCGUAUCUAUUCUUUUUUAAAGACUUUAUGAUCCAUUUGCAGUGGGUCCUACCAGCUAUGUAGGAAUACCCUACCUUCUUUAUAAGAGCUUUCAUACAUGCAUAAUAUUGGAAAACAAUGUCCGAAGAUAUAAUUUUCCCCCCAUAAUAUAGCAAAGAUCACGAAAAGGCCCGAAAAAGUACAUUAUGUUCAAAAUUUGGAGUCGAAAAAAAACCAAUAGAAGAAUUCCAUUUUACUUCCUUAGUCAUCGGAGAGCUCUCUUUGGGCUUUCCGAAAAGGUAUCACAUGCCAAGUUUGGCCUCACGGUCUAAAAGUUAUAGAGUCAUACAUUUUUAACAAAACAAAAUAGAGAAAAACGGGAAAAAAGAGGGAUGUAACACGAGGACAUUCCGGGAGGUCACCCAUCCUAGUACUACUCUUGCCCAAGCACCCUUAACUGCGGAGUUCUUAUGGGAUCCGGUGCAUUAGUGUUGGUAUGAUCGCAUGUGUUACUACAUGCAAUGUAAUCGUAUCUAUUCUUUUUAAAGACUUUAUGAUCCAUUUGCCGUGGGUCCCACCAGCUAUGUAGGAAUACCCUAUCUUCUUUAUAAGAGCUUUGAUACAUGUAAAAUAUUGGAAAACAAUGUCCGAAGAUAUAAUUUUCCCCCGUAAUAUAGCAAAGAUCACGAAAAGGCCCGAAAAUGUACAUUAAGUUCAAAAUUUGGAGUAGAAAAAAAAAACAAUAGAAGAAUUCCAUUUUCCUUCCUCAUUCAUCGGAGAGCUCUCUUUGGGCUUUCCGAAAAGGUAUGACAUUCCAAGUUUGGCCUCAUGGUCUCAAAUUUAUAAAGUCAUACAUUUUUCACAAAAAAAAAAUAAAGAAAAACCAAAAAAAAAAAAGAGGGAUGUAACACGAGGACUUUUUUGGGAGGUCACCCAUCCUAGUACUACUCUCGCCCAAGCACGCUUAACUGCGGAGUUCUGAUGGGAUCCGGUUCAUUAGUGCUGGUAUGAUCACAUGUGUUACUACAUGCAAUGUAAUCGUAUCUAUUCUUUUUUAAAGACUUUAUGAUCCAUUUGCCGUGAGUCCCACCAGCUAUGUAGGAAUACCCUAUCUUCUCUAUAAGAGCUUUGAUACAUGCAAAAUAUUGGAAAACAAUGUCCGAACAUAUAGUUUUCCCCCCGUAAUAUAGCAAAGAUCACGAAAAGGCCCGAAAAAGUACAUUUAGUUCAAAAUUUGGAGUAGAAAAAAAAACAAUAAAAGAAUUUCAUUUCCCUUCCUCAGUCAUCGGAGAGCUCUCUUUGGGCUUUCCAAAAAGGUAUCACAUGCCAAGUUUGGCCUCACGGUCUAAAAGUUAUAGAGUCAUACAUUUUUAACAAUACAAAAUAGAGAAAAACCGAAAAAAAAGAGGGAUGCAACACGAGGACUUUCCGGGAGGUAAUCAAUCCUAGUACUACUCUAGCCCAAGCACCCUUAACUGCGGAGUUCUAAUGGAAUCCAGUGCAUUAGUGCGGGUAUGAUCGCAUGUGUUACUACAUGCAAUGUAAUCGUAUCUAUUCUUUUUUAAAGACUUUAUGAUCCAUUUGCCGUGGGUCCCACCAGCUAUGUAGGAAUACACUAUCUUCUUUAUAAGAGCUUUGAUACAUGCAAAAUAUUGGAAAAAAACGUCCGAACAUAUAAUUUUCCCCACGUAAUAUAGCAAAGAUCACGAAAAUGCCCCAAAAAGUACAUUUAGUUCAAAAUUUGGAGUAGAAAAAAAAACAAUAGAAGAAUUACAUUUUCCUUCCUCACUCAUCGGAGAGCUCUCUUUGGGCUUUUCGAAAAGGUACCACAUGCCAAGUUUGGCCUCACGGUCUAAAAGUUAUAGAGUCAUACAUUUUUAACAAAAUAAAAUUGAGAAAAACCGAAAAAAAGAGGGAUGCAACACGAGGACUCUCCAGAAGGUAACCCAUCUUAGUACUACUCUCGCUCUUGCACCCUUAACUAUGGAGUUCUGAUGGGACCCGGUGCAUUAGUGCUGGUAUGAUCGCAUCUGUUACUAUAUGCAAUGUAAUCGUAUCUAUUCUUUUUUAAAGACUUUAUGAUCCAUUUGCCGUGGGUCCCACCAGCUAUGUAGGAAUACCCUAUCUUCUUUAUAAGAGCUUUGAUAUAUGCAAAAUAUUGGAUUACCAUGUCCGAACAUAUAAUUUUUCCCGUGUAAUAUAGCAAAGAUCAAGAAAAAGCCAAAAAAGUACAUUUAGGUCAAAAUUUGAGUAGAAAAAAACAAAUAGAAGAAUUCCAUUUUCCUUCCUCAUUCACCGUAGAGCUCUCAUUGGGCUUUCCGAAAAGGUAUCAUAUGCCAAGUUUGGCCUCACGGUCUAAAAGUUAUAGAGUCUAACAUUCUUAACAAAACAAAAUAGAGAAAAACCGAAAAAAGAGGGAUGCAACACGAGGACUUUCCGGGAGGUCACCCAUCCUAGUACUACUCUCGCCCAAGGACCCUUAACUGCGGAGUUCUGAUGGGAUCCGUUGCAUUAGUGCUGGUAUGAUCGCAUGUGUUACUACAUGCAAUGUAAUCGUAUCUAUUCUUUCUUAAAGACUUUAUGAUCCAUUUGCCGUGCGUCCCACCAGCUAUGUAGGAAUACCCUAUCUUCUUUAUAAGAGCUUUGAUACAUGCAAAAUAUUGGAAAACAAUGUCCGAACAUAUAGUUUUCCCCCCGUAAUAUAGCAAAGAUCACGAAAAGGCCCGAAAAAGUACAUUUAGUUCAAAAUUUGGAGUAGAAAAAAAAACAAUAGAAGAAUUCCAUUUUCCUUCCUCAGUCAUCGGAGAGCUCUCUUUGGGCUUUCCGAAAAGGUAUCACAUGCCAAGUUUGGCCUCACGGUCUAAACGUUAUAGAGUCAUACAUUUUUAACAAUACAAAAUAGAGAAAAACCGAAAAAAAGAGGGAUGCAACACGAAGACUUUCCGGGAGGUAAUCCAUCCUAGUACUACUCUUGCCAAAGCACCCUUAACUGCGGAGUUCUGAUGGAAUCUGGUGCAUUAGUGCUGGUAUGAUCGCAUGUGUUACUACAUGCAAUGUAAUCGUAUCUAUUCUUUUUUAAAGACUUUAUGAUCCAUUUGCCGUGGGUCCCACCAGCUAUGUACGAAUACCCUAUCUUCUUUAUAAGAGCUUUGAUACAUGCAAAAUAUAUGAAAAAAACGUCCGAACAUAUAAUUUUCCCCCCGUAAUAUAGCAAAGAUCAUGAAAAGGCCCAAAAAAGUACAUUAAGGUCAAAAUUUGGCGUAGAAAAAAAACCAAUAGACAUAUUCCAUUGGCCUUCGUCAUUCAUUGGAGAGCUCUCUUUGGGCUUUCCGAAAAGGUAUCACAUGCCAAGUUUGGCCUCACGGUCUAAAAGUUAUAGAGUCAUACAUUUUUAACAAUACAAAAUAGAGAAAAACCGAAAAAAAGAGGGAUGCAACACGAGGACUUUCCGGGAGGUAAUCCAUCCUAGUACUACUCUCGCCCAAGCACCCUUAACUGCGGAGUUCUAAUGGAAUCCGGUGCAUUAGUGCUGGUAUGAUCGCAUCUGUUACUAUAUGCAAUGUAAUCGUAUCUAUUCUUUUUUAAAGACUUUAUGAUCCAUUUGCCGUGGGUCCCACCAGCUAUGUAGGAAUACCCUAUCUUCUUUAUAAGAGCUUUGAUAUAUGCAAAAUAUUGGAUUACCAUGUCCGAACAUAUAAUUUUUCCCGUGUAAUAUAGCAAAGAUCAAGAAAAAGCCAAAAAAGUACAUUUAGGUCAAAAUUUGAGUAGAAAAAAACAAAUAGAAGAAUUCCAUUUUCCUUCCUCAUUCACCGCAGAGCUCUCUUUGGGCUUUCCGAAAAGGUAUCAUAUGCCAAGUUUGGCCUCACGGUCUAAAAGUUAUAGAGUCUAACAUUUUUAACAAAACAAAAUAGAGAAAAACCGAAAAAAGAGGGAUGCAACACGAGGACUUUCCGGGAGGUCACCCAUCCUAGUACUACUCUCGCCCAAGGACCCUUAACUGCGGAGUUCUGAUGGGAUCCGUUGCAUUAGUGCUGGUAUGAUCGCAUGUGUUACUACAUGCAAUGUAAUCGUAUCUAUUCUUUCUUAAAGACUUUAUGAUCCAUUUGCCGUGCGUCCCACCAGCUAUGUAGGAAUACCCUAUCUUCUUUAUAAGAGCUUUGAUACAUGCAAAAUAUUGGAAAACAAUGUCCGAACAUAUAGUUUUCCCCCCGUAAUAUAGCAAAGAUCACGAAAAGGCCCGAAAAAGUACAUUUAGUUCAAAAUUUGGAGUAGAAAAAAAAACAAUAGAAGAAUUCCAUUUUCCUUCCUCAGUCAUCGGAGAGCUCUCUUUGGGCUUUCCGAAAAGGUNNNNNNNNNNNNNNNNNNNNNNNNNNNNNNNNNNNNNNNNNNNNNNNNNNGAGAAAAACCGAAAAAAGAGGGAUGCAACACGAGGACUUUCCGGGAGGUCACCCAUCCUAGUACUACUCUCGCCCAAGGACCCUUAACUGCGGAGUUCUGAUGGGAUCCGUUGCAUUAGUGCUGGUAUGAUCGCAUGUGUUACUACAUGCAAUGUAAUCGUAUCUAUUCUUUCUUAAAGACUUUAUGAUCCAUUUGCCGUGCGUCCCACCAGCUAUGUAGGAAUACCCUAUCUUCUUUAUAAGAGCUUUGAUACAUGCAAAAUAUUGGAAAACAAUGUCCGAACAUAUAGUUUUCCCCCCGUAAUAUAGCAAAGAUCACGAAAAGGCCCGAAAAAGUACAUUUAGUUCAAAAUUUGGAGUAGAAAAAAAAACAAUAGAAGAAUUCCAUUUUCCUUCCUCAGUCAUCGGAGAGCUCUCUUAGGGCUUUCCGAAAAGGUAUCACAUGCCAAGUUUGGCCUCACGGUAUAAACGUUAUAGAGUCAUACAUUUUUAACAAUACAAAAUAGAGAAAAACCGAAAAAAAGAGGGAUGCAACACGAAGACUUUCCGGGAGGUAAUCCAUCCUAGUACUACUCUUGCCAAAGCACCCUUAACUGCGGAGUUCUGAUGGAAUCUGGUGCAUUAGUGCUGGUAUGAUCGCAUGUGUUACUACAUGCAAUGUAAUCGUAUCUAUUCUUUUUUAAAGACUUUAUGAUCCAUUUGCCGUGGGUCCCACCAGCUAUGUACGAAUACCCUAUCUUCUUUAUAAGAGCUUUGAUACAUGCAAAAUAUAUGAAAAAAACGUCCGAACAUAUAAUUUUCCCCCCGUAAUAUAGCAAAGAUCAUGAAAAGGCCCAAAAAAGUACAUUAAGGUCAAAAUUUGGCGUAGAAAAAAAACCAAUAGACAUAUUCCAUUGGCCUUCGUCAUUCAUUGGAGAGCUCUCUUUGGGCUUUCCGAAAAGGUAUCACAUGCCAAGUUUGGCCUCACGGUCUAAAAGUUAUAGAGUCAUACAUUUUUAACAAUACAAAAUAGAGAAAAACCGAAAAAAAGAGGGAUGCAACACGAGGACUUUCCGGGAGGUAAUCCAUCCUAGUACUACUCUCGCCCAAGCACCCUUAACUGCGGAGUUCUAAUGGAAUCCGGUGCAUUAGUGCUGGUAUGAUCGCAUCUGUUACUAUAUGCAAUGUAAUCGUAUCUAUUCUUUUUUAAAGACUUUAUGAUCCAUUUGCCGUGGGUCCCACCAGCUAUGUAGGAAUACCCUAUCUUCUUUAUAAGAGCUUUGAUAUAUGCAAAAUAUUGGAUUACCAUGUCCGAACAUAUAAUUUUUCCCGUGUAAUAUAGCAAAGAUCAAGAAAAAGCCAAAAAAGUACAUUUAGGUCAAAAUUUGAGUAGAAAAAAACAAAUAGAAGAAUUCCAUUUUCCUUCCUCAUUCACCGCAGAGCUCUCUUUGGGCUUUCCGAAAAGGUAUCAUAUGCCAAGUUUGGCCUCACGGUCUAAAAGUUAUAGAGUCUAACAUUUUUAACAAAACAAAAUAGAGAAAAACCGAAAAAAGAGGGAUGCAACACGAGGACUUUCCGGGAGGUCACCCAUCCUAGUACUACUCUCGCCCAAGGACCCUUAACUGCGGAGUUCUGAUGGGAUCCGUUGCAUUAGUGCUGGUAUGAUCGCAUGUGUUACUACAUGCAAUGUAAUCGUAUCUAUUCUUUCUUAAAGACUUUAUGAUCCAUUUGCCGUGCGUCCCACCAGCUAUGUAGGAAUACCCUAUCUUCUUUAUAAGAGCUUUGAUACAUGCAAAAUAUUGGAAAACAAUGUCCGAACAUAUAGUUUUCCCCCCGUAAUAUAGCAAAGAUCACGAAAAGGCCCGAAAAAGUACAUUUAGUUCAAAAUUUGGAGUAGAAAAAAAAACAAUAGAAGAAUUCCAUUUUCCUUCCUCAGUCAUCGGAGAGCUCUCUUUGGGCUUUCCGAAAAGGUAUCACAUGCCAAGUUUGGCCUCACGGUCUAAACGUUAUAGAGUCAUACAUUUUUAACAAUACAAAAUAGAGAAAAACCGAAAAAAAGAGGGAUGCAACACGAAGACUUUCCGGGAGGUAAUCCAUCCUAGUACUACUCUUGCCAAAGCACCCUUAACUGCGGAGUUCUGAUGGAAUCUGGUGCAUUAGUGCUGGUAUGAUCGCAUGUGUUACUACAUGCAAUGUAAUCGUAUCUAUACUUUUUUAAAGACUUUAUGAUCCAUUUGCCGUGGGUCCCACCAGCUAUGUACGAAUACCCUAUCUUCUUUAUAAGAGCUUUGAUACAUGCAAAAUAUAUGAAAAAAACGUCCGAACAUAUAAUUUUCCCCCCGUAAUAUAGCAAAGAUCACGAAAAGGCUCGAAAAAUUACAUUUAGUUCAAAAUUUGGAGUAGAAAAACCCCAAUAGAAGAAUUCCAUUUUACUUCCUUAGUCAUCGGAGAGCUCUCUUUGGGCUUUCCGAAAAGGUAUCACAUGCCAAGUUUGGCCUCACGGUCUAAAAGUUAUAGAGUCAUACAUUUUUAACAAAACAUAAUAGAGAAAAACGGGAAAAAGAGGGAUGUAACACGAGGACUUUCCGGGAGGUCACCCAUCCUAGUACUACUCUUGCCCAAGCACCCUUAACUGCGGAGUUCUGAUGGGAUCCGGUGCAUUAGUGUUGGUAUGAUCGCAUGUGUUACUACAUGCAAUGUAAUCGUAUCUAUUCUUUUUAAAGACUUUAUGAUCCAUUUGCCGUGGGUCCCACCAGCUAUGUAGGAAUACCCUAUCUUCUUUAUAAGAGCUUUGAUACAUGCAAAAUAUUGGAAAACAAUGUCCGAACAUAUUAUUUUCCCCCCGUAAUAUAGCAAAGAUCACGAAAAGGCCCGAAAAUGUACAUUAAGUUCAAAAUUUGGAGUAGAAAAAAAAAACAAUAGAAGAAUUCCAUUUUCCUUCCUCAUUCAUCGGAGAGCUCUCUUUGGGCUUUCCGAAAAGGUAUAACAUUCCAAGUUUGGCCUCAUGGUCUCAAAGUUAUAAAGUCAUACAUUUUUCACAAAAAAAAAUAAAGAAAAACAAAAAAAAAAAAGAGGGAUGUAACACGAGGACUUUUUUGGGAGGUCACCCAUCCUAGUACUACUCUCGCCCAAGCACCCUUAACUGCGGAGUUCUGAUGGGAUCCGUUGCAUUAGUGCUGGUAUGAUCGCAUGUGUUACUACAUGCAAUGUAAUCGUAUCUAUUCUUUCUUAAAGACUUUAUGAUCCAUUUGCCGUGAGUCCCACCAGCUAUGUAGGAACACCCUAUCUUCUUUAUAAGAGCUUUGAUACAUGCAAAAUAUUGGAAAAAAACGUCCGAACAUAUAAUUUUCCCCACGUAAUAUAGCAAAGAUCACGAAAAGGCCCCAAAAAGUACAUUUAGUUCAAAAUUUGGAGUAGAAAAAAAAACAAUAGAAGAAUUCCAUUUUCCUUCCUCAGUCAUCGGAGAGCUCUCUUUGGGCUUUCCGAAAAGGUAUCACAUGCCAAGUUUGGCCUCACGGUCUAAACGUUAUAGAGUCAUACAUUUUUAACAAUACAAAAUAGAGAAAAACCGAAAAAAAGAGGGAUGCAACACGAAGACUUUCCGGGAGGUAAUCCAUCCUAGUACUACUCUUUCCAAAGCACCCUUAACUGCGGAGUUCUGAUGGAAUCUGGUGCAUUAGUGCUGGUAUGAUCGCAUGUGUUACUACAUGCAAUGUAAUCGUAUCUAUUCUUUUUUAAAGACUUUAUGAUCCAUUUGCCGUGGGUCCCACCAGCUAUGUACGAAUACCCUAUCUUCUUUAUAAGAGCUUUGAUACAUGCAAAAUAUAUGAAAAAAACGUCCGAACAUAUAAUUUUCCCCCCGUAAUAUAGCAAAGAUCACGAAAAGGCUCGAAAAAUUACAUUUAGUUCAAAAUUUGGAGUAGAAAAACCCCUAUAGAAGAAUUCCAUUUUCCUUCCUCAGUCAUCGGAGAGCUCUCUUUGGGCUUUCCGAAAAGGUAUCACAUGCCAAGUUUGGCCUCACAGUCUAAAAGUUAUAGAGUCAUACAUUUUUAACAAAACAAAAUUGAGAAAAACCGAAAAAAAGAGGGAUGCAACACGAGGACUCUCCAGAAGGUAACCCAUCUUAGUACUACUCUCGCCCAAGCACCCUUAACUGCGGAGUUCUGAUGGGACCCGGUGCAUUAGUGCUGGUAUGAUCGCAUGUGUUACUACAUGCAAUGUAAUCGUAUCUGUUCUUUUUUAAAGACUUUAUGAUCCAUUUGCCGUGGGUCCUACCAGCUAUGUAGGAAUACCCUACCUUCUUUAUAAGAGUUUUGAUACAUGCAUAAUAUUGGAAAACAAUGUCCGAAGAUAUAAUUUUCCCCCCGUAAUAUAGCAAAGAUCACGAAAAGGCCCGGAAGAGUACAUUAAGUUCAAAAUUUGGAGUAUAAAAAAAACCAAUAGAAGAAUUCCAUUUUACUUCCUUAGUCAUCGGAGAGCUCUCUUUGGGCUUUCCGAAAAGGUAUCACAUGCCAAGUUUGGCCUCACGGUCUAAAAGUUAUAGAGUCAAACAUUUUAAACAAAACAUAAUAGAGAAAAACGGGAAAAAAGAGGGAUGUAACACGAGGACUUUCCGGGAGGUCACCCAUCCUAGUACUACUCUUGCCCAAGCACCCUUAACUGCGGAGUUCUGAUGGGAUCCGGUGCAUUAGUGUUGGUAUGAUCGCAUGUGUUACUACAUGCAAUGUAAUCGUAUCUAUUCUUUUUAAAGACUUUAUGAUCCAUUUGCCGUGGGUCCCACCAGCUAUGUAGGAAUACCCUAUCUUCUUUAUAAGAGCUUUGAUACAUGCAAAAUAUUGGAAAACAAUGUCCGAACAUAUUAUUUUCCCCCCGUAAUAUAGCAAAGAUCACGAAAAGGCCCGAAAAUGUACAUUAAGUUCAAAAUUUGGAGUAGAAAAAAAAAACAAUAGAAGAAUUCCAUUUUCCUUCCUCAUUCAUCGGAGAGCUCUCUUUGGGCUUUCCGAAAAGGUAUAACAUUCCAAGUUUGGCCUCAUGGUCUCAAAGUUAUAAAGACAUACAUUUUUCACAAAAAAAAAUAAAGAAAAACCAAAAAAAAAAAAGAGGAAUGUAACACGAGGACUUUUUUGGGAGGUCACCCAUCCUAGUACUACUCUCGCCCAAGCACCCUUAACUGCGGAGUUCUGAUGGGAUCCGUUGCAUUAGUGCUGGUAUGAUCGCAUGUGUUACUACAUGCAAUGUAAUCGUAUCUAUUCUUUCUUAAAGACUUUAUGAUCCAUUUGCCGUGAGUCCCACCAGCUAUGUAGGAAUACCCUAUCUUCUUUAUAAGAGCUUUGAUACAUGCAAAAUAUUGGAAAAAAACGUCCGAACAUAUAGUUUUCCCCCCGUAAUAUAGUAAAGAUCACGAAAAGGCUCGAAAAAGUACAUUUAGUUCAAAAUUUGGAGUAGAAAAAAAAACAUUAGUAGAAUUCCAUUUCCCUUCCUCAGUCAUCGGAGAGCUCUCUCUGGGCUUUCCAAAAAGGUAUCACAUGCCAAGUUUGGCCUCACGGUCUAAAAGUUAUAGAGUCAUACAUUUUUAACAAUACAAAAUAGAGAAAAACCGAAAAAAAAGAGGGAUGCAACACGAGGACUUUCCGGGAGGUAAUCCAUCCUAGUACUACUCUCGCCUAAGCACCCUUAACUGCGGAGUUCUAAUGGAAUCCAGUGCAUUAGUGCGGGUAUGAUCGCAUGUGUUACUACAUGCAAUGUAAUCGUAUCUAUUCUUUUUUAAAGACUUUAUGAUCCAUUUGCCGUGGGUCCCACCAGCUAUGUAGGAAUACACUAUCUUCUUUAUAAGAGCUUUGAUAGAGGCAAAAUAUUGGAAAAAAACGUCCGAACAUAUAAUUUUCCCCACGUAAUAUAGCAAAGAUCACGAAAAUGCCCCAAAAAGUACAUUUAGUUCAAAAUUUGGAGUAGAAAAAAAAACAAUAGAAGAAUUACAUUUUCCUUCCUCACUCAUCGGAGAGCUCUCUUUGGGCUUUCCGAAAAGGUAUCACAUGCCAAGUUUGGUCUCACGGUCUAAGAGUUAUAGAGUCAUACAUUUUUAACAAUACAAAAUAGAGAAAAACCGAAAAAAAGAGGGAUGCAACACGAAGACUUUCCGGGAGGUAAUCCAUCCUAGUACUACUCUUGCCCAAGCACCCUUAACUGUGGAGUUCUGAUGGAAUCUGGUGCAUUAGUGCUGAUAUGAUCGCAUGUGUUACUACAUGCAAUGUAAUCGUAUCUAUUCUUUUUUAAAGACUUUAUGAUCCAUUUGCCGUGGGUCCCACCAGCUAUGUAGGAAUACCCUAUCUUCUUUAUAAGAGCUUUGAUACAUGCAAAAUAUAUGAAAAAAACGUCCGAACAUAUAAUUUUCCCCCCGUAAUAUAGCAAAGAUCACGAAAAGGCUCGAAAAAUUACAUUUAGUUCAAAAGUCCCCCGUAUGAUGUCAUUUGUUACUACAUGCAAUGCAAUCAUAUCUAUUCUUAUUUAAAGACUUUAUGAUCCAUUUGUCGUGGGUCCCACCUGUAGGAAUACCCUAUCUUGUUUAUAAAAGAUUUGAUACAUGCAAAAUACUCGAAAACAAUGUCCGAACAUAUAAUUUUCACCCCGUAAUAUAGCAAAGAUCACGAAAAGGCCCGAAAAAGUACAUUAAAGUCAAAAUUUGGAGUAGAAAAAAACCCAAUAGAAGUAUUCCAUUCUCCUUCGUCAUUCAUCGGAGAGCUCUCUUUAGGCUUUCCGAAAAGAUAUCACAUGCCAAGUUUGGCCUCACGGUUUAAAAGUUAUAGAGUCAUAGAUUUUUAACAAAACAAAAAGAGAAAAACCGAAAAAAAUUGGGAUGCAACACGAGGACUUUCCUGGAGGUCACCCAUCCUAGUACUACUCUCGCCCAAGCACCCUUAACUGCGUAGUUCUGAUGGGAUCCGAUGCUUUAGUGCUGGUAUGAUCGCAUCUGUUACUACAUGCAAUGUAAUCGUAUCUAUUCUUUUUUAAAGACUUUAUGAUCCAUUUGCCGUGGGUCCCACCAGCUAUGUAGGAAUACCCUAUCUUCUUUAUAAGAGCUUUGAUAAAUGCAAAAUAUUGGAAACCAAUGUCCGAACAUAUAAUUUCGCCCCCGUAAUAUAGCAAAGAUCACGAAAAAGCCCAAAAAAGUUCAUUUAGGUCAAAAUUUGAGCAGAAGAAAAAGAAAUAGAAGAAUUCCAUUUUCCUUCCUCAUUUAUUGGAGAGCUCUCUUUGGGCUUUCCGAAAAGGUAUCACAUGCCAAGUUUGGCCUCACGGUCUAAAAGUUAUAGAGUCAUACAUUUUUAACAAAAUGAAAUAGAGAAAAACCGAAAAAAAGAGGGAUGUAACACGAGGACUUUCCGGGAGGUAAUCUAUCCUACUACUACUCUCGGCCAAGCACCCUUAACUGCGGAGUUCUAAUGGGAUCCGGUGCAUUAGUGCUGGUAUGAUCGCAUGUGUUACUACAUGCAAUGUAAUCGUAUCUAUUCUUUUUUAAAGACUUUAUGAUCCAUUUGCCGUGGGUCCCACCAGCUAUGUAGGAAUACNNNNNNNNNNNNNNNNNNNNNNNNNNNNNNNNNNNNNNNNNNNNNNNNNNAUAUAAUGUUUGCCCCAAAAUAUAGCANAGACCACGAAAAUGCCAUAAAAAGUACAUUAAGGUCAAAAUUUGGAGUAGGAAAAAAAAUCAAUAGGAGAAUUCCAUUUUCCUUCCUCAUUCAUUGGAGAGCUCUCUUUGGGCAUUCCAAAAAGGUAUCACAUGCCAAGUUUGGCCUCACGGUCUAAAAGUUAUAGAGUAAUACAUUUUUAACAAAAAAAAAAGAGAAAAACCGAAAAAAAGAGGGAUGCAACACGAAGACUUUUCUGGAGGUCACCCAUCCUAGUACUACUCUCCCCCAAGCACGCUUAACUGUGGUGUUCUGAUAGGAUCAAGUGCAUUAGUGCUGGUAUGAUCGCAUCAGUUACUACAUGCAAUGCAAUCAUAUAUAUUCUUUUUUGAAGACUUUAUGAUCCAUUGUCGUAGGUCCCACCAGCUAUGUAGGAAUACCCUUUCUUGUUUAUAAGAGCUUUGAUACAUGCAAAAUAUUCGAAAACAAUGUCCGAACAUAUAAUUUUUGUCCCGUAAUAUAGCAAAGAUCACGAAAAGGCCAGAAAAAAUACAUUUCGGUCAAAAUUUGGAGUAGAAAAAAAGCCCUUCCUCAUUCAUUGGACAGCUCUCUUUGGGCUUUCCGAAAAGGUAUCACAUGCCAAGUUUGGCCUCACGGUCUAAACCUUAUAGACUCAUACAUUUUUCACAAAAAAAAGAAGAGAAAAGCCAAAAAAAAAGAGUGAUUAAACACGAGGACUUUCCUGGAGGUCACCCAUCCUAGUACUACUCUCGCCCAAGCACGCUUAACUGCGAAGUUCUGAUGGGAUCUGGUGCAUUAGUGCUGGUAUGAUCGCAUCUGUUACUACAUGCAAUGAAAUCGUAUCUAUUCUUUUUUGAAGAUUUUAUGAUUCAUUUACCGUGGGUCCCACCAGCUAUGUAGGAAUAACCUAUCUUAUUUAUAAGAUCUUUGAUACAUGCAAAAUAUUGGAAAACAAUGUCCGAACAUAUAAUGUUCGCCCCAAAAUAUAGCAAAGACCACAAAAAUGCCAUAAAAAGUACAUUAAGGUCAAAAUUUGGAGUAGGAAAAAAACCAAUAAGAGAAUUCCAUUUUCCUUCCCUCAUUCAUCGGAGAUCUCUCUUUGGGCAUUCCAAAAAGGUAUCACAUGCCAAGUUUGGCCUCACGGUCUAAAAGUUAUAGAGUAAUACAUUUUUAACAAAAAAAAAAGAGAAAAACCGAAAAAAAGAGGGAUGCAACACGAAGACUUUUCUGGAGGUCACCCAUCCUAGUACUACUCUCCCCCAAGCACGCUUAACUGUGGUGUUCUGAUAGGAUCAAGUGCAUUAGUGCUGGUAUGAUCGCAUCAGUUACUACAUGUAAUGCAAUCAUAUAUAUUCUUUUUUGAAGACUUUAUGAUCCAUUUGCCGUAGGUCCCACCAGCUAUGUAGGAAUACCCUAUCUCGUUUAUAAGAGCUUUGAUACAUGCAAAAUAUUCGAAAACAAUGUCCGAACAUAUAAUGUUUGCCCCAAAAUAUAGCAAAGACCACGAAAAUGCCAUAAAAAGUACAUUAAGGUCAAAAUUUGGAGUAGGAAAAAAAAUCAAUAGGAGAAUUCCAUUUUCCUUCCUCAUUCAUCGGAGAGCUCUCUUUGGGCAUUCCAAAAAGGUAUGACAUGCCAAGUUUGGCCUCACGGUCUAAAAGUUAUAGAGUAAUACAUUUUUAACAAAAAAAAAAGAGAAAAACCGAAAAAAAGAGGGAUGCAACACGAAGACUUUUCUGGAGGUCAUCCAUCCUAGUACUACUCUCCCCCAAGCACGCUUAACUGUGGUGUUCUGAUAGGAUCAAGUGCAUUAGUGCUGGUAUGAUCGCAUCAGUUACUACAUGCAAUGCAAUCAUAUAUAUUCUUUUUUGAAGACGUUAUGAUCCAUUUGCCGUAGGUCCCACCAGCUAUGUAGGAAUACCCUAUCUUGUUUAUAAGAGCUUUGAUACAUGCAAAAUAUUCGAAAACAAUGUCCGAACAUAUAAUUUUUGUCCCGUAAUAUAGCAAAGAUCACGAAAAGGCCAGAAAAAAUACAUUUUGGUCAAAAUUUGGAGUAGAAAAAAAACCCUUCCUCAUUCAUUGGACAGCUCUCUUUGGGCUUUCCGAAAAGGUAUCACAUGCCAAGUUUGGCCUCACGGUCUAAAAGUUAUAGAGUCAUACAUUUUUCACAAAAAAAAGAAGAGAAAAACCAAAAAAAAGAGUGAUGAAACACGAGGACUUUCCUGGAGGUCACCCAUCCUAGUACUACUCUCGCCCAAGCACGCUUCACUGCGAAGUUCUGAUGGGAUCUGGUGCAUUAGUGCUGGUAUGAUCGCAUCUGUUACUACAUGCAAUGCAAUCAUAUCUAUUCUUUUUUGAAGAUUUUAUGAUUCAUUUACCGUGGGUCCCACCAGCUAUGUAGGAAUAACCUAUCUUAUUUAUAAGAGCUUUGAUACAUGCAAAAUAUUGGAAAACAAUGUCCGAACAUAUAAUGUUCGCCCCAAAAUAUAGCAAAGACAACAAAAAUGCCAUAAAAAGAAAAUUAAGGUCAAAAUUUUGAGUAGGAAAAAAAUCAAUAAGAGAAUUCCAUUUUCCUUCCCUCAUUCAUCGGAGAUCUCUCUUUGGGCAUUCCAAAAAGGUAUCACAUGCCAAGUUUGGCCUCACGGUCUAAAAGUUAUAGAGUAAUACAUUUUUAACAAAAAAAGAAGAGAAAAACCGAAAAAAAGAGGGAUGCAACACGAAGACUUUUCUGGAGGUCACCCAUCCUAGUACUACUCUCCCCCAAGCACGCUUAACUGUGGUGUUCUGAUAGGAUCAAGUGCAUUAGUGCUGGUAUGAUCGCAUCAGUUACUACAUGUAAUGCAAUCAUAUAUAUUCUUUUUUGAAGACUUUAUGAUCCAUUUGCCGUACGUCCCACCAGCUAUGUAGGAAUACCCUAUCUCGUUUAUUAGAGCUUUGAUACAUGCAAAAUAUUCGAAAACAAUGUCCGAACAUAUAAUGUUUGCCCCAAAAUAUAGAAAAGACCACGAAAAUGCCAUAAAAAGUACAUUAAGGUCAAAAUUUGGAGUAGGAAAAAAAAUCAAUAGGAGAAUUCCAUUUUCCUUCCUCAUUCAUCGGAGAGCUCUCUUUGGGCAUUCCAUAAAGGUAUCACAUGCCAAGUUUGGCCUCACGGUCUAAAAGUUAUAGAGUAAUACAUUUUUAACAAAAAAAAAAGAGAAAAACCGAAAAAAAGAGGGAUGCAACACGAAGACUUUUCUGGAGGUCACCCAUCCUAGUACUACUCUCCCACAAGCACGCUUAACUGUGGUGUUCUGAUAGGAUCAAGUGCAUUAGUGCUGGUAUGAUCGCAUCAGUUACUACAUGUAAUGCAAUCAUAUAUAUUCUUUUUUGAAGACUUUAUGAUCCAUUUGCCGUAGGUCCCACCAGUUAUGUAGGAAUACCCUAUCUCGUUUAUAAGAGCUUUGAUACAUGCAAAAUAUUCGAAAACAAUGUCCGAACAUAUAAUGUUUGCCCCAAAAUAUAGCAAAGACCACGAAAAUGCCAUAAAAAGUACAUUAAGGUCAAAAUUUGGAGUAGGAAAAAAAAUCAAUAGGAGAAUUCCAUUUUCCUUCCUCAUUCAUGGGAGAGCUCUCUUUGGGCAUUCCAAAAAGGUAUCACAUGCCAAGUUUGGCCUCACGGUCUAAAAGUUAUAGAGUAAUACAUUUUUAACAAAAAAAAAAGAGAAAAACCGAAAAAAAGAGGGAUGCAACACGAAGACUUUUCUGGAGGUCACCCAUCCUAGUACUACUCUCCCCCAAGCACGCUUAACUGUGGUGUUCUGAUAGGAUCAAGUGCAUUAGUGCUGGUAUGAUCGCAUCAGUUACUACAUGCAAUGCAAUCAUAUAUAUUCUUUUUUGAAGACGUUAUGAUCCAUUUGCCGUAGGUCCCACCAGCUAUGUAGGAAUACCCUAUCCUGUUUAUAAGAGCUUUGAUAUAUGCAAAAUAUUCAAAAACAAUGUCCGAACAUAUAAUUUUUGUCCCGUAAUAUAGCAAAGAUCACGAAAAGGCCAGAAAAAAUAAAUUUCGGUCAAAAUUUGGAGUAGAAAAAAAACCCUUCCUCAUUCAUUGGACAGCUCUCUUUGGGCUUUCCGAAAAGGUAUCACAUGCCAAGUUUGGCCUCACGGUCUAAACCUUAUAGACUCAUACAUUUUUUACAAAAAAAAGAAGAGAAAAACCAAAAAAAAGAGUGAUUAAACACGAGGACUUUCCUGGAGGUCACCCAUCCUAGUACUACUCUCGCCCAAGCACGCUUAACUGCGAAGUUCUUAUGGGAUCUGGUGCAUUAGUGCUGGUAUGAUCGCAUCUGUUACUACAUGCAAUGCAAUUGUAUCUAUUCUUUUUUGAAGAUUUUAUGAUUCAUUUACCGUGGGUCCCACCAGCUAUGUAGGAAUAACCUAUCUGAUUUAUAAAAGCUUUGAUACAUGCAAAAUAUUCGAAAACAAUGUCCGAACAUAUAAUGUUCGCCCCAAAAUAUAGCAAAGACCGUAAAAAUGCCAUAAAAAGUACAUUAAGGUCAAAAUUUGGAGUAGGAAAAAAAAUCAAUAGGAGAAUUCCAUUUUCCUUCCCUCAUUCAUCGAAGAGCUCUCUUUGGGCAUUCCAAAAAGGUAUCACAUGCCAAGUUUGGCCUCACGGUCUAAAAGUUAUAGAGUAUUACAUUUUUAACAAAAAAAAAAGAGAAAAACCGAUAAAAAGAGGGAUGCAACACGAAGACUUUUCUGGAGGUCACCAAUCCUAGUACUACUCUCCCCCAAGCACGCUUAACUGUGGUGUUCUGAUAGGAUCAAGUGCAUUAGUGCUGGUAUGAUCGCAUCAGUUACUACAUGCAAUGCAAUCAUAUAUAUUCUGUUUUGAAGACUUUAUGAUCCAUUUGUCGUAGGUCCCACCAGCUAUGUAGGAAUACCCUUUCUUGUUUAUAAGAGCUUUGAUACAUGCAAAAUAUUCGAAAACAAUGUCCGAACAUAUAAUUUUUGUCCCGUAAUAUAGCAAAGAUCACGAAAAGGCCAGAAAAAAUACAUUUCGGUCAAAAUUUGGAGUAGAAAAAAAGCCCUUCCUCAUUCAUUGGACAGCUCUCUUUGGGCUUUCCGAAAAGGUAUCACAUGCCAAGUUUGGCCUCACGGUCUAAACCUUAUAGACUCAUACAUUUUUCACAAAAAAAAGAAGAGAAAAACCAAAAAAAAAGAGUGAUUAAACACGAGGACUUUCCUGGAGGUCACCCAUCCUAGUACUACUCUCGCCCAAGCACGCUUAACUGCGAAGUUCUGAUGGGAUCUGGUGCAUUAGUGCUGGUAUGAUCGCAUCUGUUACUACAUGCAAUGAAAUCGUAUCUAUUCUUUUUUGAAGAUUUUAUGAUUCAUUUACCGUGGGUCCCACCAGCUAUGUAGGAAUAACCUAUCUCGUUUAUAAGAGCUUUGAUACAUGCAAAAUAUUCGAAAACAAUGUCCGAACAUAUAAUGUUUGCCCCAAAAUAUAGAAAAGACCACGAAAAUGCCAUAAAAAGUACAUUAAGGUCAAAAUUUGGAGUAGGAAAAAAAAUCAAUAGGAGAAUUCCAUUUUCCUUCCUCAUUCAUCGGAGAGCUCUCUUUGGGCAUUCCAUAAAGGUAUCACAUGCCAAGUUUGGCCUCACGGUCUAAAAGUUAUAGAGUAAUACAUUUUUAACAAAAAAAAAAGAGAAAAACCGAAAAAAAGAGGGAUGCAACACGAAGACUUUUCUGGAGGUCACCCAUCCUAGUACUACUCUCCCACAAGCACGCUUAACUGUGGUGUUCUGAUAGGAUCAAGUGCAUUAGUGCUGGUAUGAUCGCAUCAGUUACUACAUGUAAUGCAAUCAUAUAUAUUCUUUUUUGAAGACUUUAUGAUCCAUUUGCCGUAGGUCCCACCAGUUAUGUAGGAAUACCCUAUCUCGUUUAUAAGAGCUUUGAUACAUGCAAAAUAUUCGAAAACAAUGUCCGAACAUAUAAUGUUUGCCCCAAAAUAUAGCAAAGACCACGAAAAUGCCAUAAAAAGUACAUUAAGGUCAAAAUUUGGAGUAGGAAAAAAAAUCAAUAGGAGAAUUCCAUUUUCCUUCCUCAUUCAUGGGAGAGCUCUCUUUGGGCAUUCCAAAAAGGUAUCACAUGCCAAGUUUGGCCUCACGGUCUAAAAGUUAUAGAGUAAUACAUUUUUAACAAAAAAAAAAGAGAAAAACCGAAAAGAAGAGGGAUGCAACACGAAGACUUUUCUGGAGGUCAUCCAUCCUAGUACUACUCUCGCCCAAGCACACUUAACUGCGGUGUUCUGAUAGGAUCAAGUGCAUUAGUGCUGGUAUGAUCGCAUCAGUUACUACAUGCAAUGCAAUCUUAUAUAUUCUUUUUUGAAGACUUUAUGAUCCAUUUGCCGUCGGUCCCACCAGCUAUGUAGGAAUACCCUAUCUUGUUUAUAAGAGCUUUGAUAUAUGCAAAAUAUUCAAAAAUAAUGUCCGAACAUAUAAUUUUUGUCCCGUAAUAUAGCAAAGAUCACGAAAAGGCCAGAAAAAAUAAAUUUCGGUCAAAAUUUGGAGUAGAAAAAAAACCCUUCCUCAUUCAUUGGACAGCUCUCUUUGGGCUUUCCGAAAAGGUAUCACAUGCCAAGUUUGGCCUCACGGUCUAAACCUUAUAGACUCAUACAUUUUUUACAAAAAAAAGAAGAGAAAAACCAAAAAAAAGAGUGAUUAAACACGAGGACUUUCCUGGAGGUCACCCAUCCUAGUACUACUUUCGCCCAAGCACGCUUAACUGCGAAGUUCUUAUGGGAUCUGGUGCAUUAGUGCUGGUAUGAUCGCAUCUGUUACUACAUGCAAUGCAAUUGUAUCUAUUCUUUUUUGAAGAUUUUAUGAUUCAUUUACCGUGGGUCCCACCAGCUAUGUAGGAAUAACCUAUCUGAUUUAUAAAAGCUUUGAUACAUGCAAAAUAUUCGAAAACAAUGUCCGAACAUAUAAUGUUCGCCCCAAAAUAUAGCAAAGACCGUAAAAAUGCCAUAAAAAGUACAUUAAGGUCAAAAUUUGGAGUAGGAAAAAAAUCAAUAGGAGAAUUCCAUUUUCCUUCCCUCAUUCAUCGGAGAGCUCUCUUUGGGCAUUCCAAAAAGGUAUCACAUGCCAAGUUUGGCCUCACGGUCUAAAAGUUAUAGAGUAUUACAUUUUUAACAAAAAAAAAAGAGAAAAGCCGAUAAAAAGAGGGAUGCUACACGAAGACUUUUCUGGAGGUCACCAAUCCUAGUACUACUCUCCCCCAAGCACGCUUAACUGUGGUGUUCUGAUAGGAUCAAGUGCAUUAGUGCUGGUAUGAUCGCAUCAGUUACUACAUGCAAUGCAAUCAUAUAUAUUCUGUUUUGAAGACUUUAUGAUCCAUUUGUCGUAGGUCCCACCAGCUAUGUAGGAAUACCCUUUCUUGUUUAUAAGAGCUUUGAUACAUGCAAAAUAUUCGAAAACAAUGUCCGAACAUAUAAUUUUUGUCCCGUAAUAUAGCAAAGAUCACGAAAAGGCCAGAAAAAAUACAUUUCGGUCAAAAUUUGGAGUAGAAAAAAAGCCCUUCCUCAUUCAUUGGACAGCUCUCUUUGGGCUUUCCGAAAAGGUAUCACAUGCCAAGUUUGGCCUCACGGUCUAAACCUUAUAGACUCAUACAUUUUUCACAAAAAAAAGAAGAGAAAAACCAAAAAAAAAGAGUGAUUAAACACGAGGACUUUCCUGGAGGUCACCCAUCCUAGUAAUACUCUCGCCCAAGCACGCUUAACUGCGAAGUUCUGAUGGGAUCUGGUGCAUUAGUGCUGGUAUGAUCGCAUCUAUUACUACAUGCAAUGAAAUCGUAUCUAUUCUUUUUUGAAGAUUUUAUGAUUCAUUUACCGUGGGUCCCACCAGCUAUGUAGGAAUAACCUAUCUUAUUUAUAAGAUCUUUGAUACAUGCAAAAUAUUGGAAAACAAUGUCCGAACAUAUAAUGUUCGCCCCAAAAUAUAGCAAAGACCACAAAAAUGCCAUAAAAAGUACAUUAAGGUCAAAAUUUGGAGUAGGAAAAAAACCAAUAAGAGAAUUCCAUUUUCCUUCCCUCAUUCAUCGGAGAUCUCUCUUUGGGCAUUCCAAAAAGGUAUCACAUGCCAAGUUUGGCCUCACGGUCUAAAAGUUAUAGAGUAAUACAUUUUUAACAAAAAAAAAAAGAGAAAAACCGAAAAAAAGAGGGAUGCAACACGAAGACUUUUCUGGAGGUCACCCAUCCUAGUACUACUCUCCCCCAAGCACGCUUAACUGUGGUGUUCUGAUAGGAUCAAGUGCAUUAGUGCUGGUAUGAUCGCAUCAGUUACUACAUGUAAUGCAAUCAUAUAUAUUCUUUUUUGAAGACUUUAUGAUCCAUGUGCCGUAGGUCCCACCAGCUAUGUAGGAAUACCCUAUCUCAUUUAUAAGAGCUUUGAUACAUGCAAAAUAUUCGAAAACAAUGUCCGAACAUAUAAUGUUUGCCCCAAAAUAUAGCAAAGACCACGAAAAUGCCAUAAAAAGUACAUUAAGGUCAAAAUUUGGAGUAGGAAAAAAAAUCAAUAGGAGAAUUCCAUUUUCCUUCCUCAUUCAUCGGAGAGCUCUCUUUGGGCAUUCCAAAAAGGUAUCACAUGGCAAGUUUGGCCUCACGGUCUAAAAGUUAUAGAGUAAUACAUUUUUAACAAAAAAAAAAGAGAAAAACCGAAAAAAAGAGGGAUGCAACACGAAGACUUUUCUGGAGGUCACCCAUCCUAGUACUACUCUCCCCCAAGCACGCUUAACUGUGGUGUUCUGAUAGGAUCAAGUGCAUUAGUGCUGGUAUGAUCGCAUCAGUUACUACAUGCAAUGCAAUCAUAUAUAUUCUUUUUUGAAGACGUUAUGAUCCAUUUGCCGUAGGUCCCACCAGCUAUGUAGGAACACCCUAUCUUGUUUAUAAGAGCUUUGAUACAUGCAAAAUAUUCGAAAACAAUGUCCGAACAUAUAAUUUUUGUCCCGUAAUAUAGCAAAGAUCACGAAAAGGCCAGAAAAAAUACAUUUCGGUCAAAAUUUGGAGUAGAAAAAAAACCCUUCCUCAUUCAUUGGACAGCUCUCUUUGGGCUUUCCGAAAAGGUAUCACAUGCCAAGUUUGGCCUCACGGUCUAAAAGUUAUAGAGUCAUACAUUUUUCACAAAAAAAGCAAGAGAAAAACAAAAAAAAAGAGUGAUGAAACACGAGGACUUUCCUGGAGGUCACCCAUCCUAGUACUACUCUCGCCCAAGCACGCUUAACUGCGAAGUUCUGAUGGGAUCUGGUGCAUUAGUGCUGGUAUGAUCGCAUCUGUUACUACAUGCAAUGCAAUCGUAUAUAUUCUUUUUUGAAGACUUUAUGAUCCAUUUGUCGUAGGUCCCACCAGUUAUGUAGGAAUACCCUAUCUCGUUUAUAAGAGCUUUGAUACAUGCAAAAUAUUCGAAAACAAUGUCCGAACAUAUAAUGUUUGCCCCAAAAUAUAGCAAAGACCACGAAAAUGCCAUAAAAAGUACAUUAAGGUCAAAAUUUGGAGUAGGAAAAAAAAUCAAUAGGAGAAUUCCAUUUUCCUUCCUCAUUCAUUGGAGAGCUCUCUUUGGGCAUUCCAAAAAGGUAUCACAUGCCAAGUUUGGCCUCACGGUCUAAAAGUUAUAGAGUAAUACAUUUUUAACAAAAAAAAAAGAGAAAAACCGAAAAAAAGAGNNNNNNNNNNNNNNNNNNNNNNNNNNNNNNNNNNNNNNNNNNNNNNNNNNUCAUACAUUUUUAACAAAACAAAUAGAGAAAAACCGAAAAAAAGAAUGAUACAACACAAGGACUUUCCGGGAGGUCACCCAUCCUAAUACUAUUCUCGCCCAAGCAAGCUUAACUGCAGAGUAUUGAUGGGAUCUGAUGCAUAAGGGCUGAUAUGAUCGCAUCCGUUACUACAAGCAAUGCAAUCGUAUCUAUUCGUUUUUGAAGACUUUAUGAUCCAUUUGCCGUGGGUCCCACCAGCUAUGUAGGAAUACCCUAUCUUGUUUAUAAGAGCUUUGAUACAUGCAAAAAAUUGGAAAACAAUGUCUGAACAUAUAAUUUUUGUCCCGUAAUAUAGCAAAGAUCACGAAAAGGAUAGAAAAAGUACAUUAAGGUCAAAAUUUUGAGUAGAAAAAAAAUCAAUAGAAGGAUUCCAAUUUCCUUCCUCAUUCAUAUAGCUCUCUUUGGGCUUUCCGAAAAGGUAUCACAUGCAAAGUUUGGCCUCGCGGUCUAAAAGUUAUAGAGGUAUACAUUUUUACCAAAAAAAAGAGGGAUUCAACACGAGGACUUUCUGGGAGGUCACUCAUCCUAUUACUACUCUCGCCCAAGCACACUUAACUGCGGAGUUCUGAUAGGAUCCAGUGCAUUAGUGCGGGUAUGAUCACAUCCGUUACUACAUGCAAUGCAAUCGUAUAUAUUUUUUUUGAAGACUUUAUGAUCCAUUUGCCGUGGGUCUCACCAGCUAUGUAGGAAUACCCUAUCUUGUUUGUAAGAGCUUUGAUACAUGCAAAAUAUUCGAAAACAAUGUCAGAACGUAUGCUUUUUGCCCCGUAAUAUAGCAUAGAUCAUGAAAAGGCCAGAAAAAGUACAUUAAGGUCAAAAUUUUGAGUAGAAAAAAAAACAAUAGAAAAAUUCCAUUGUCCUUCCUCAUUCAUCGGAGAGUUCUCUUUGGGCUUUCCGAAAAGGUAUCACAUGCCAAGUUUGGCCUCACGGUCUAAAACUUAUAGAAUCAUACAUUCUUAACAAAAAAAAAAGAGAAAAACCGAAAAAAAGAAGAAUGCAACACAAGGACUUUCCAUGAGGUCAACCAUCCUAGUACUACUCUCGCCCAAUCACGCUUAACUGCAGAGUUUUGAUGGGAUCCGGUGCAUUAGUGCUGGUAUGAUCGCAUCUGUUACUACAUGCAAUGCAAUCGUAUCUAUUCUUUUUUGAAGACUUUAUGAUCCAUUUGUCGUGGGUCCCACCAACUAUGUAAGAAUACCCUAUCUUGUUUAUAAGAGCUUUGAUACAUGCAAAAUAUUCGAAAACAAUGUCAGAACGUAUGCUUUUUGCCCCGUAAUAUAGCAUAGAUCAUGAAAAGGCCAGAAAAAGUACAUUAAGGUCAAAAUUUUGAGUAGAAAAAAAAACAAUAGAAAAAUUCCAUUGUCCUUCCUCAUUCAUCGGAGAGUUCUCUUUGGGCUUUCCGAAAAGGUAUCACAUGCCAAGUUUGGCCUCACGGUCUAAAAUUUAUAGAGUCAUACAUUUUUAACAAAAAAAAAAGAGAAAAACCGAAAAAAGAGGGAUGGAACACAAGGACUUUCCGGGAGGUCACCCAUUCUAGUACUACUCUCACCCAAGCGCGCUUAACUGUGGAGUUCUGAUGGGAUCCAGUGCAUUAGUGAUGGUAUGAUCGCAUCCGUUACUACAUGCAAUGCAAUAAUAUCUUUUCUUCUUGAAGACUUUAUGAUCCAUUUGUCGUGGGUCCCACCAGCUAUGUAGGAAUACCCUAUCUUGUUUAUAAGAGCUUUGAUACAUGCAAAAUAUUCAAAAACAAUGUCCGAACAUAUAAUUUUCGCCCCGUAAUAUAGCAAAGAUCGCGAAAACGCCAAAAGAGUACAUUAAGGUCAAAAUUUGGAGUAGAAAAAAAACCCAAUAGAAGAAUUCCAUUUUCCUUCAUCAUUCACCAGAGAGCUCUCUUUUGGCUUUUUGAAAAGGUAUCACAUGCCAAGUUUGGCCUCACGGUCUAAAAGUUAUAGAGUCAUUCAUUUUAAAAAAAAAAAUAGAGAAAAACCAAAAAAAAAAAGAGGGAUGAAACACGAGGACUUUCCGGGAGGUCACCCAUCCUAGUACUACUCUCGCCCAAGCACACUUAACUGCGGAGUUCUUAUGGGAUCUGGUGCAUUAGUGCUGCUAUGAUCGCAUCCGUUACUACAUGCAAUGCAAUCGUAUCUAUUCUUUUUUGAAGACUUUAUGAUCCAUUUGCUGUGGGUCCUGAUAUGUCUAUAAUUUACAUCUUUUCAGUGUCCAUUCAUCACCGUUUUGAGUCCAGUUUUGUAUCAUUCAUCGCUGUUUUAUAUCAUUUCUCAUCAUUCUUGCAUACUUUGCAUGAUUAGGAUAGUUUUGCAUACAUAUUGCAUUUCUAAGUUGUUUUCAGGUGAUUUGGAGCUGUUUGCGAGCAAAUUGGAAGAAACGAGCCAGAACCAGAAGACAUACUCGACCACCAGGUCGUGUGCAUCCAGCACCAUACUCGACCCCCUGGUCGAGUGACUUUGGAGCCAUUCUUCCCAUCUACUCGACCCCCUAGUCGAGUAUCCUCAGCUCAGGCUACUCGAUGACGCCAUCGACCCCCUGGUCGAGUAUCACUUCGCCACACCACCUGACCACACUCGGCCAUUCACUCUACCAAGUUAGUCGACCCCCUGGUCGAGUAUCAUCACUCACCACCAUCACCAUCACUCGACCGGACACUCGAUCACGUCUUCACAGUCUACUCAAAUCCGCACUCAACCAGACAAGCUGAGCACAAGGAAGAGAAGAGGAGAAGACAAAGUGUUUGGAAGCGGCCUGGACCUCCAUCGGAUCACAAAGCCCAUCUCGGCCCAUUAUCACUCUAUUGGUCGGGCGAUUAGGUUAUUGGCCCGUCUACUAUCAUUUUGUUUUGUAUAAAUAGAUGUCUUAGGGUUCUUUCCUGAGACAUCUAGUCGACAUUGAGUUUUUGUUUCAGUUUUAUUUUCUAUUUUACUCUUCUGCGCCGCUUUUGCUUCUACAACCUAUAAUUCGAGAUUUUUCCAAGUUAUUCAGAUUCUGCAUUUGAUUUUAUCUAUCAUCCUGUUUCUCUACUCUUUAUCUCUUUACUUAUGCAAUAUUAUCAUUUAUCUGCGUUUAUGUCUUUGAGCAUGUUGUCUGAGUAGUGACAUAGAAUUCUUAGGGAUGGGAUAGAGUAGUUGUGGAAUCCGUAGUCUGUAGAAUGGUUAAGUUUUAGAAUUGAUUGAAUCCCUUCAGGACUAGUUGCGUUUACUGCUUAUUUCUUUCUGAUCAACUGGAAUUCGAUCCCAAGCAUUCUCGCACCCAGAAGGUGUUCGAUGGAAUGCUUGAUCCACUAGUUCCUGAGAUAUUCGUCUCUAUCCCAAGGGAUUGGGCGUUUAGAGCGUUUAUUGACUUUAUCAGUCUGUUCUUAUUGCCUGCAUAGUUAGAUUGCGUUAAUGGGAAUUAGUCUGGGCUAGCUUUGCUUGAGGAUUUCUAUCACAGAAGUGAAUUGAUUUGUUGUUGAACCUAUUGUCUAGGGAUAGCUUGAUUGCGCUUGUUAACCAUUCGAAUAUGCUAGGAUAUGAUAAGGUCUGACCCUAUCGAAGACAAGAAAAAGACUAAGAGUGAUAAAAUAACAAGAUAAUAGGAAAUGCACCUUGAACGGCGGAGAGUGUAGAUGAGAGAGAGAAUUUCAAGAUUAAUGUUGUUGAUUGUUUAUUUUGAUAACAAAACCCUAAAAGGGAAGGUUCCUUAAAUAGCAUCUACUGAGACUCAAUACAAAACGCAGCAUUUCGAUAACCCAAAAGUAAAACGACACAGUUGGCGAGCUGUCUUUCUGUGCCGAGCUGGCGAGCUGUCUUUCUGUGCCUUAGCCACUUUUAAAUAGAAGCUUCCUCAGGAACUUCUCACGAGCUCUGCCUUUCCUUCCAUUUGAUUUCGCCCUUCUUCUCACACCAGCCAACGUCACCUGUAACCUAUCAAUGCUCCCGCGCAGAAGACUGACCUUGUCCUCAAGGUCGAAGUCCGGGUACUGCUGCACCAAAGUGAGGAGCGGCUCCCAAGUUGAUUCCAAGGUUGAUAAUCCAGACCACUGUACCAGCACCUCUGGUCCUGAAUUUGUGUUGCUCUGUCGGAUAUCUAGCAGCUUCUCAGGUCCUGUGUUCCAUUCCAGUGUGGGUGAUAGUAUCUUGGGAAGUUCCUGCGGGGUGAAUGACGGAGGUACAGCCCUUUUCAGUUGAGAGACAUGGAACACCGGGUGAAUUGUGCUGUGUUCGGGUAGUUGGAGCUUGUAAGCGACCUGACCUAUGCGGUGCAGCACUUUAAAUGGACCGAAGUAGCGCUGGGACAGCUUUUCAUUCUUCCUAUGAGCCACAGAACUUUGCCUAUAAGGACGCAGCUUCAAGUAAACCCAUUCAUCAAUUUCAAACGCUACAUCACGUCGACUUUUAUCAGCAGCCUUUUUCAUUUGAGCUUGAGCUAUCUCCAAGUUCUCUCUUAAUUCAACCAGCAUUCCAUCCUUAUCCUUAAGUAACUCCUCUACAUUCGCAUUAUUGGUUGGAAUAUCGCCAUACCUGAGCAGAACUGGUGGUUCUCUACCAUAGACUGCUUGAAAGGGAGUGGUUUUGGUGGCUGAAUGGUACGAGGUGUUGUACCAGUAUUCUGCCCAAGGUAACCACUGAAACCACGAUGUAGGCCUCCUCCCUGCAAAGCAUCGCAAAUAAGACUCAAGACAUCUGUUAACAACCUCGGUCUGCCCAUCAGUUUGUGGGUGAUAGGCUGUACUCUUCUGUAGCCCCGUGCCCUGCAGCUUAAACAACUCAGACCAGAAUCCGCUCAGGAAAAUCCUGUCCCUGUCCGAAACCAGUGUGUUUGGGAAGCCAUGUAGCUUGACUACAUCUCUUAUGAAGGCCUCAACUACAGUCUUGGCAGUGAAUGGAUGUUUAAGUGGAAUGAAAUGACUAUACUUACUUAAUCUAUCCACCACUACCAAUAUACAGUUAAACCUGUUAGAGCUUGGCAACCCUUCUACAAAGUCCAAGCUGACAUCACUCCAAAUCUGUUGUGGAAUAGGGAGAGGUGAUAGUAAACCGGCUGGAGAGAGGGUAGAGUAUUUAUUCUCUUGACAGAUUUGGCAUCCCUUGAUGUAGUUAACCACGUCUUUCCGCAACCCUCUCCAGUAUACUUCACUUGUGAGUCGUUUGAAUGUCUUAAGGGCACCUUCAUGACCUCCAAUAGGACUGGUGUGGAACUUCUCUAGCAUCUUUGGAAUGAAGGGAGAUCCUACAGGAAUUACCAAACAGCCUUUUCUGUAAAUCAAGCCAUCUGCCACAGUGAAGUCAGAAUCAUGGUGGUCCCCUUGUGCCCAGUUCUUAAGUAUCUGGCUCAACUCAUGAUCCUGCUGAAUUUCUGCCUUUAGUGCAGUCAAGUCGAUAGUAGGAGGACCAGUUAUAGUGAGCUGUGAGAGAGCCUCAGUUGGAGGUCUCCUUGAGAGUGCAUCAGCUACCUUAUUGUCAACUCCUGGUUUAUAUUCGAUCCUAUACUUCAGUCCACUCAACUUAGACGCCCAUCUCUGCUGUAUUGUGGACACCGACUUCUGUUCCAACAAAUGUCUGAGGCUGCGUUGAUCUGUCUUGAUAAUGAAUUCUUUACUUGAUAGGUAAUGCUUCCACUUUGUGACAGCUUUCACUAUGGCUAACAGUUCACGUUCAUAAACUGACCUUAUUCUGCCUUGACUGGAGAAGGCUUGGCUGAGAAAUGCAAUAAGCCUCUUAUUCUGUGACAGUACUGCUCCAAUCCCCAUCCCUGAUGCAUCCGUUUCCACAGUAAACUCCUGCUGGAAAUCUGGUAACACUAGCACAGGUAGUGCUGAAACAGCUGCUUUGAGAGCCUGAAAUGCAGAAGUAGCUGCCUCAUUCCAAUCAAAACUGUUCUUUUUUAACUGAUCUCUGAGUGGUCUGGCGAUUUGGCCGUAAUUCUUGACAAAUCGGCGAUAGUAGCCAGUGAAUCCUAGGAAGCCUCUUAACUCAGUCACAGAUUUAGGUAAAGGCCACUGGAGCAUUGCUUCCACCUUUUCUGGAUCUGUUGCGACUCCUUGCUCAGAGAUAAUGUGUCCCAAAUAUGAGAUCCUAGUGCUUCCAAAUGUGCACUUUUUAAAAUUGGCAUAGAACUGAUGAAGAUGCAGUAGCUGUAAGACGGUUUCCAAAUGCUUCAAAUGUGUCUUCAUAUCAGGACUAUAAACUAGUAUAUCAUCGAAGAAAACCAAGACGAACUUUCGCAAGUAUGGCCUGAAUAGGUCAUUCAUGACGCUUUGAAAGGUGGAGGGGGCGUUGGUCAAGCCAAAUGGCAUUACCAGAAAUUCAUAAUGGCCCUCAUGUGUCUUGAAGGCAGUCUUCUCCACAUCACUCAGUUUCAUCCUUAUCUGGAAAUAGCCUGAUUUAAGAUCCAACUUUGAAAACACUGUGGCUCCUUUCAGUUCAUCCAAUAGCUCUUCUAUAACAGGAAUCGGAUACUUAUCGGGUAUUGUAGCUUCAUUCAAUGCUCGAUAAUCAACGCAGAAGCGCCAUCCUCCAUCUUUCUUUUUCACUAGGAGAACUGGACUUGAAUAUGGACUCACGCUAGGUCUUAUAAUCUGAGCAUUCAACAUUUCACGCACAAGCUUCUCUAUCUCAUUCUUUUGAGCAAAAGAAUACCUGUAUGGUCGGAUAUUGACUGGUGAAGACCCUUCUUGUAAGGUAAUGGCGUGUUCUCUGUUGCGAACUGGUGGCAAUAGCUGUGGAGUUUGAAAAACCCCUUGGUACUGAUCCAAAAGCCUCUGGAUUGCAGGCUGCAAGGCUGUUUGCUCUUCCUGUUUCUUGCUUUCAAACAAAGAUGCUAGUUCCAAGAGAUAUGCAGUUCCAGUGUAUUUGAUAACUCUUUCCAUAGACCUCAUCGAAAUUUGUCCUCUACAUAGAUCCGGGUCGCCGUAUAAGGAUACCCAUGUGCGACCUAUCUGCCAACUGAUCCUCAAAUCUCUCCAGUUGGCUCUUGUUUCUCCUAGUCCUGCCAACCAAGAAAAUCCCAGAACCAAAUCCAAAUCUCCCAAGUCAAAUAAGUAGUAGUCUUGUACAAACUCAAUUCCUUGGACCUCUAGUGGUAUAUCGACACACUUCCCACUACUUUUGAUGAUUCUGCCUCCACCAACUUUAACUCCAAAACUGCGAGUUUGAGUCACUAACCAUCCUUUCUCUCUUACCAAAGCCUCACUAAUGAAGUUGCAAGUUGCUCCUGAAUCAACCAAUAACACCACUUUGGUGUUGCCAAUGUAUCCCCUCAUUUUCAUUGACUGCUCUUGAGACUCAUCAUUCAAGGAGCUGAGUGUCAUUACCUUGAAACCUUCUGCAGGUUCUGGAUCCCCUUCUUCUUCUGUCAGUGGUUCAUUCAACUCUUCAAUUAGAGGACUCUCCUCUUCAACCUCUUCUGUUAUGGCUAGACCCUUGAGCUUUUGUGGUUUGCAUUUAUGGCCUUGAAACCAUCUAUCUCCACAGUAGCGGCACGGGUUUGAGUUCCUGGCUUCCCCACUGCCUGAAGCACGAGUUGUAUCCCUACUAGGAAUGAAGGGUUGUCUCGUUGGAGCACGGUCUACCACUCUAGAUCCUGUGGAGACCUGAUUGUUGAAUGGAGCUGUGUUGGUUCUAGCUUGAUUUCGCACUUGGUAACUAACAGCAUUCCGCUCUUGUGACUCAAUGAGUUUAGCUAUCUCAACAAUAUCUGCAAGAUUCACUGGCCUACAGCGAACUACCUGGUCUCGAAGACUUCUUCUCAGUCCAUUGAGGAAUGCAGAUUCCAAUAUGUCAGAUGUGACAUGGGGUAAGUCGACUGUGAGCUCUUCAAAACGUUCUCUGUAUUCCUCCACGGUUCCUGUUUGUCUCACGUUGAGGAGAUGAUCCACAGCAGAACUGCCUCUGCUUGGUCGAAAACGUAACAUGAACUUUUCUUGAAAUUCCCUCCAGGUAUAGAUUUGUUCUCUGUCCUUAGAGCAGCGCCACCAUGUAACUGAUGCUCCUGUUAAACAAGACACAGCCUUUUCCAGUUUUUCUUCCUCUAGGGUGCGAUUGGAUAAGAAGCACUGUUCUAGCCGGAACAACCAAUCGUCGGCAUUGCCUCCUUCAUAAGCCGGAUAAUCCACAGUCCUACGCGGGGCUGCUUCAAACCGAGGUUGAUGUGGCGCAGAUUGAGGCGGAAACGUUUGUGUUUGGAAGGUUGGAGUAGUCUGAAACCCCGUGGAAGGAUUAGAUGGAAAACCUGAAGAUGAUGGAAGACCCGUGGAGGCAUUCAGCUGAAACCCUGGUGGUUCUAAUGGUGACGAGUGAAAGCGACGCGGUUCGAAGGGUGAAGCUGGAAGUCGAGGUAUCUCUGAAGUCGACGCCUGGUAUCGCGACUGGUCAAAGAGUAAGGGCCGAGGGUGUGUGUCCCGUUGAUUUGUGCCGGAAAACAGAGUCUCUCUGUUCUGUACCUCCAAGUGUUGAGGAUGAGAGGUGUAGACUGGUAACGCCGGAGCUGGAGAAGAAAAACGGACUCCUCUAUUCGGUCCUUCCAGAUGUUGUGGGUANNNNNNNNNNNNNNNNNNNNNNNNNNNNNNNNNNNNNNNNNNNNNNNNNNNNNNNNNNNNNNNNNNNNNNNNNNNNNNNNNNNNNNNNNNNNNNNNNNNNAGCUCUCUUUGGGCUUUCCGAAAAGGUAUCACAUGCCAAGUUUGGCUUCACGGUCUAAACCUUAUAGACUCAUACAUUUUUCACAAAAAAAAGAAGAGAAAAACAAAAAAAAAGAGUGAUUAAACACGAGGACUUUCCUGGAGGUCACCCAUCCUAGUACUACUCUCGCCCAAGCACUCUUAACUGCGAAGUUCUGAUGGGAUCUGGUGCAUUAGUGCUGGUAUGAACGCAUCUGUUACUACAUGCAAUGCAAUCGUAUGUAUUCUUUUUUGAAGAUUUUAUGAUUCAUUUACCGUGGGUCCCACCAGCUAUGUAGGAAUAACCUAUCUUAUUUAUAAAAGCUUUGAUACAUGCAAAAUAUUCGAAAACAAUGUCCGAACAUAUAAUGUUCGCCCCAAAAUAUAGCAAAGACCACAAAAAUGCCAUAAAAAGUACAUUAAGGUCAAAAUUUGGAGUAGGAAAAAAAUCAAUAGGAGAAUUCCAUUUUCCUUCCCUCAUUCAUCGGAGAGCUCUCUUUGGGCAUUCCAAAAAGGUAUCACAUGCCAAGUUUGGCCUCACGGUCUAAAAGUUAUAGAGUAUUACAUUUUUAACAAAAAAAAAAAGAGAAAAACCGAAAAAAAGAGGGAUGCAACACGAAGACUUUUCUGGAGGUCACCCAUCCUAGUACUACUCUCCCCCAAGCACGCUUAACUGUGGUGUUCUGAUAGGAUCAAGUGCAUUAGUGCUGGUAUGAUCGCAUCAGUUACUACAUGCAAUGCAAUCAUAUAUAUUCUUUUUUGAAGACUUUAUGAUCCAUUUGCCGUAGGUCCCACCAGCUAUGUAGGAAUACCCUAUCUUGUUUAUAAGAGCUUUGAUACAUGCAAAAUAUUCGAAAACAAUGUCCGAACAUAUAAUUUUUGUCCCGUAAUAUAGCAAAGAUCACGAAAAGGUCAGAAAAAAUAUAUUUCGGUCAAAAUUUGGAGUAGAAAAAAAGCCCUUCCUCAUUCAUUGGACAGCUCUCUUUGGGCUUUCCGAAAAGGUAUCACAUGCCAAGUUUGGCCUCACGGUCUAAACCUUAUAGACUCAUACAUUUUUCAUAAAAAAAAGAAGAGAAAAACAAAAAAAAAAAGAGUGAUUAAACACGAGGACUUUCCUGGAGGUCACCCAUCCUAGUACUACUCUCGCCCAAGCACGCUUAACUACGAAGUUCCGAUGGGAUCUGAUGCAUUAGUGCUGGUAUGAUCGCAUCUGUUACUACAUGCAAUGCAAUCGUAUCUAUUCUUUUUUGAAGAUUUUAUGAUUCAUUUACUGUGGGUCCCACCAGCUAUGUAGGAAUAACCUAUCUUAUUUAUAAAAGCUUUGAUACAUGCAAAAUAUUGGAAAACAAUGUCCGAACAUAUAAUGUUCGCCCCAAAAUAUAGCAAAGACCACAAAAAUGCCAUAAAAAGUACAUUAAGGUCAAAAUUUGGAGUAGGAAAAAAAUCAAUAGGAGAAUUCCAUUUUCCUUCCCUCAUUCAUCGGAGAGCUCUCUUUGGGCAUUCCAAAAAGGUAUCACAUGCCAAGUUUGGCCUCACGGUCUAAAAGUUAUAGAGUAAUACAUUUUUAACAAAAAAAAAAAAGAAAAAAACCGAAAACAAAGAGGGAUGCAACACGAAGACUUUCCUGGAGGUCACCCAUCCUAGUACUACUCUCACCCAAGCACACUUAACUGUGGUGUUCUGAUAGGAUCAAGUGCAUUAGUGCUGGUAUGAUCGCAUCAGUUACUACAUGCAAUGCAAUCGUAUCUAUUAUUUUUUGAAGACUUUAUGAUCCAUUUGCCGUGGGUCCCACCAGCUAUGUAGGAAUACCCUAUCUUGUUUAUAAGAGCUUUGAUACAUCCAAAAUAUUCGAAAACAAUGUUGGAACGUAUAAGUUUUGCCCAGUAAUAUAGCAAAGAUCACGAAAAGGCCACAAAAAGUACAUUAAGGUAAAAAUUUAGAGUAGGAAACAAAAACAAUAGGAGAAUUCCAUUUUCCUUCCUCAAUCAUCGGAGAGUUCUUUUUGGGCUUUCCAAAAAGGUAUCACAUGCCAAGUUUGGCCUCACGGUCUAAAAGUUAUAGAGUAAUACAUUUUUAACAAAAAAAAAAAGAAAAAAACCGAAAACAAAGAGGGAUGCAACACGAAGACUUUCCUGGAGGUCACCUAUCCUAGUACUACUCUCGCCCAAGCACACUUAACUGUGGUGUUCUGAUAGGAUCAAGUGCAUUAGUGCUGGUAUGAUCGCAUCAGUUACUACAUGCAAUGCAAUCGUAUCUAUUAUUUUUUGAAGACUUUAUGAUCCAUUUGCCGUGGGUCCCACCAGCUAUGUAGGAAUACCCAAUCUUGUUUAUAAGAGCUUUGAUACAUCCAAAAUAUUCGAAAACAAUGUUGGAACGUAUAAGUUUUGCCCAGUAAUAUAGCAAAGAUCACGAAAAGGCCACAAAAAGUACAUUAAGGUAAAAAUUUAGAGUAGGAAACAAAAACAAUAGGAGAAUUCCAUUUUCCUUCCUCAAUCAUCGGAGAGUUCUUUUUGGGCUUUCCAAAAAGGUAUCACAUGCCAAGUUUGGCCUCACGGUCUAAAAGUUAUAGAGUCAUACAUUUUUAACAAAAAAGAGGGAUUUAACACGAGGACUUUCCGAGAGGUAACCCAUCCUAGUAGUACACUCGCCCAAGCACCCUUAACUACGGAGUUCUAAUGGGAUACGGUGCAUUAGUGCUCGUAUGAUCGCAU